AGAAUGUGCCAGGAGGCUCGCCACGUCAUCUUCUAAAUAAUCAACACUAUUUGGAGCAUCAAGAGCCCCCGCGUCAAGCAAUUUUCAACGCAACUCUCCAAAUUCAACAGGAAAUCAAAAACAACGAAAACGGCGGCAUGAUGGCCCCCAGUACUGAGGUUAAUUCGAGGAAUUUUGAAUUAAAAAACUAAUUUUUACAAUUUUCACAUUAAAAAUUCGUUAAAAAUCAAUUCUCUCCAGGAUCCCGAUACGGUUGUCGAGGCUCAACGUCGUGGAAGCUUCUCGAAGAAAAAGAAUGCAAAUGGGUGGAAUAAGGUGGAGCUUGUCGAUCAGUGUGUAAGUUUGUGAAGCUGAAAAAAAAAUCCAUAAAAAUCGAACAUUUCUAGCGAAAUCCCGGUAUCUCUACCGCAAAAUUCGUAGAUUUUUGGAAAAAUGCACAUUUUUCAGACAAAAACUUUUCGAAAAAGCAGAUUUAUCACAAAAAUUUGAGAAAAAUCGAAUUUUCACGUACCAGGAGUGGUUUUCCGGAAAAAUUCACCGAAAUUCGCUUAAAAUUGAACUGAAAACGUCCGAAAUUUCAAUUUUUUGUUGAUUUUCCCACUUUUUAAGCUUUUUUUUCAAACCUAACUGUAUUUUAAAAAUUUAGCCUUAUUCAGAAUUAAAUCAGAAUUAAAGAAUUAAAUUCAAACUUAAAAAUUUUAAAAAUUCGAGUUUGACAACAUGUUGAGCUUGAAAAUCGCAGUUUUAGGCUUAGGCUUUUAGGCUUAUAAUUAGGCUUAGGCUUAUGCUUAAGCUCAGGCUUAGGCUUAGGCUUAGGCUUGGGCUUUUAGGCUUAAACUUAGAUUCAGGAUUAGGCUUUUAGGCAUAGGUUUAAGCUUAACCUUAAGCUUAGGCUCAGGCUUAAACAUAGGCUUAAGCUGAGGCUUAGUCUCAGCCUAAGGCUUAGGCUUAGGCGACGGAUUAGGCUUAGGCUUAGGCUUUAGCAUAGGCUUAGGCCUAGGCUCAGGCUCCGGGGAAGAGAAAUUCCUAGAAAUUCCUUUAAAAAACCCAGGAAAAACGACAAAAAUCUGAAAAAAAUGGGGCUUUCUGUAGUCGGGUCAAAAAAAUGCAUGUCUAGGCGUCUAAUUUCAAAAACACUUCCAAAAUAUUAUUUCCGGCAAUUCCGGCAAGUACCCCGCACCCCUGAAUCAGGCCUGCCGGUUUUUUUUUUCAAAUUUUGCUCAUUUUGCUCAAAAAAAAAACAGACCGAAAAUUGAACAUUUUUUCGGCGGCACCCCGGACCUUUUUUCUGCGGUCCUAUAAAAACACGUGGUGCCAGACUGUCCCAUCACGUUUUGUUGAUCUACGAAAUUGCGGGAAUUUUUUGCCCAAAAAAAUAACACGUUCUUAACCAUGCAAAAUCAGUUUAAAAGUGUGCGUCUCUUUUCCCGCAUUUUUUGUAGAUCAACGUAGAUCAAGCCGAAAUGAGACACUCUUACAGCACUUGUAAAAAUAUAAAAAUCGAUUUUCCCUCGAAAAUCGCCAAAUUUUCCCGCCAAAAACUUGUCGAUUUUCUCGUCUCUGGGUUGUCCAACCGUGAGAAUUUAUAUUUUUCUUCUUCUUCUUCUCAAUUUUCUCAGCUCUACAUGUUUCUCAUUUCCUUUUUCGGGUUCAUAUCACCACCGUUACCUCGUCUAGACCGCCCGAAUAUUUCUGCUCCUCUGAUCAUCGAACACUGCUCCGCCACUACUUUUUUUUCGCUGGGCGCUGUUGCUGCUCCUGCCACGUCGUUUUUUUUUUCCGCUCGACUGAUAAGGAGUUGUUCUAUCCAAAAUUCGAGAGACAGAGAAUUCCGAUAAAAAUACAUACAUAUUAUUUUGAAGUUCUCGUGCACUUUUGCUCUUACACUGGCACCGCCGAGCACACCCCCGCCGCGGUUGAUGAGGAGGUCAGAAAAGUAUAAUUUGGGUCUUAGCACGCCCUGAAAAUGCAAAAAAAUAUGGAUUUUUUCAGUCAGAAGCUCAUUUUUUAGGGGAUUUUAUCUAGAAAUUCCCUAAAAUUUUGGGCCCUUUCUGGAUUUUCUCAUGAAUUUUUUAAAUCAAUUUUUACAAUUUUCCAGGCCAAGCAAAUGGGUUCGGAGGACAAACAACCUGGUGGUGGCGACGUGAAAACCGAAAAUGGUACGGGAAAUCGCGCUCCGUUGAGAAUGACCGCGCGAUUCGGCGGCAAUUUGAAUAGUUUUAACGAAAAAAAAUGCGGAAGAAAUUCGCAUUAGAGCGCAUUUGCACCCACAUUUUUUCUUUGAAAAUCGCCCGAUGGAGUCGGAUGGACCACCCGUUUUCAGCUUUUCUAGAGAAAUUAUUCAGUUUUAGACCAAAAAAUUCCACAGAAAAUAGAAAAUUCCACAAUUUAUAAAUAUACAUUUAUUAGAAAAAAUUUUUGAAUUUAAAAAAACGGGCGAUUUUCGACUCUAGACACCGCCUUUUUUCAAAAAUUUUUGUAAUUUUUGGGCAAAAAUGGCUCGGCAAACCGAAUUAAAAAAUUUCCGGCAAAUUGGAAAAUUGCCGGAAUUUAAAAUUUCCGGCAAAUCAGCGAGUUGCUGAAAUUUGAAAUUUCCGGAAAAUCGGAAAUUGAAAUUUCCUGCAAAUUGGAAAGUUGCCGGAAUUUAAAAUUUCCGGCAGAUCGACAAAUUGGCAGAAUUUGGAAUUUCCGGCAAUUCGGCAAAUCGCCAGAAUUUGGAAUUUCCGGCAAUUCGGCAAAUCGCCAGAAUUUGGAGUUUCCGGCAAAUCGGAAAAUUGCCGAAAGUUGAAAUUUCCGGCAAAUUUGCGGAAUUGAGGAUUUCAGGCAAAUCGGGUGAAAUUGGCAGAGUUGAACAUUUCCGGCAAAUCGGCAGAAUUUGGAAUUUCCGGCAAUUCGGCAAAUCGCCAGAAUUUGGAAUUUCCGGCAAUUCGGCAAAUCGCCAGAAUUUGGAAUUUCCGGCAAAUCGGAAAAUUGCCGAAAGUUGAAAUUUCCGGCAAAUUGGCGGAAUUGAGGAUUUCAGGCAAAUCGGGUGAAAUUGGCAGAGUUGAACAUUUCCGGCAAAUCGGAAAAUUGCCGGAAUUUAAAAAUUUCCGGCAAAUCAGAAAAUUGCCGGAAUUCGAAAUUUCCGGCAAAUCGGAAAAUUGCCGGAAGUUGAAAAAUCCGGCAAGUUUUCGGAACUUAAAAUUUCUGGCAAAUCGGAAAAUUACAGGAAUUUAAAAUUUUCGGCAAAUCGGCAAAAAUUUCCAUUUUUCACCACUUUUUUUUUGCAGAUCCAUCAAAAAACGGACUCGGCUCGGCAACAAGUAAUUUCAUUCAAAGCUCAGUUCCCCCGUCACAUCAAACUUUGAGCAAUCCUCUGCAGCUGAGCCCACCGGCAGAAGCUUCAGGUCAGUUUUUUUUCUUUUUUUCUCAGAAAAUAUAUAUAUCUGUGUUUGAUAAUUCUAGGGCUCAUGGGAGAAAAAAAAAAGAAAAAAUGCGUGAAAUUAUAGGGUCACUUUUGUGAGAAGUAGCUAAAGUACAUCGGAACUUUUAGCUUGAAAAACAUUUUUUUUUUUUUUGAGAAAAAAAAAAUUAAUUUUAAAUUUUCUGUAAUCCUCCAUUUUUAUUAUCAUAGAGUAGGAAAAGUACACCGUGAGCAUGAAAUUUGCUGGAAAAAUCCGAAAAAUCCACUUUUUCUUCAUUUCCCCAUUUUGUACUCCUCUCGGACAAGUCAAUUCUGCGAAAUUUGAAAAUCUGGAGAUUUUUUCAAUUUUUCGCAAUUUAAAUAGCUUGAAAUGAUGGGAAAAUGCGAUGAAAACAUGCUGUUAGCUCCAAAUCAGGGAAUUUUCAUAAUUUUCCAGAUUUUAGCUUUUUGUACUCCUCUCGGACAAGUCAAUUUUGCCAAAAUUUGAAAAUCUGGAGAUUUUUCGAUUUUUCGUAGAAUUUUCGUUAUUCUAACUUUUGUAAAGUGCACCAGAAGCUUGAAAAUUGCUCAAAAAUGAAUUUUUGACCAUUUUGCAUUGUGUACUCCUCUCGGAAAAGUCGAAUUUUUGGAAAUGUAGGAAUUUUCCAAUUUUUUGCGGAUUUUGCUCAAAAAUGCUUCCAAAAGAUCUAUACGAAUAUCAGCAUCGUCAAAAUCGCAUCAUCACGUCACUCCUCCAAUACGUAUUGCUGUGUACUCCUCUCGGACAAGACAGUUUUUUGAAAUUCGUAUUUUUGAGAUUUUUCAAUGACUUCUAGGUGUUCAGUCGCUGAAAUUUGUAGAAAAUAGCUCGAAAAACCAUUUUUACAACAAUUUAUCCGACAGUUCUCUUCGUGUACUCCUCUUGGACAAGCUGGAAUUUCGAAAAACUCGACUUUUCUUUGGAUUUGCACCAUUUUUAAGGAAAAUUUUAAAUUUGUCGCUCACGAAGUCUUCCCGAAUCUCGAAGCACCUGUGUACUCCUCUCUGACGAAAAUCUGUGGUUUUACCAAUAACUUCUCCACCCCCCGACUCACUAAGUACCCCCAUUAAAUAGGGUGCUCAGGCCCCCCGAAAUUCCAUUAUCACCAGUGACACGUGUGUUUUAUAUGUCUCACCGAGCUCCGCCGCCGAAACAUGAGGUCGCCUGAGAGGACGCCUGUUCGCCGAAGUGAUUUCUAUCUGUGUGUGUUGUCGCCUCCCGGAGGGUCCAUGAGUAUCAUCAAGAGGGCGAAAAAUGAGAAAUGUUCCUUCGUUUUUUUUUGUGCUGCACAUUUUGGUGAUAUGCUGUCUUAGAGCACACACACACACACAGGGAGAAGAAGAGCUUGAUUGAUUGCCUGUUCUACUUGAGCCUAGGCGAGCUUCUGAUGAUGCUCUCUUCUACCCCUUCGGGUGCCCCCAGACUUUGUUUAGUUUACAAUUCAUUUUAGAAACCUCUACUCUCAAUUUUUUUCCCAUCAUCAUUUCAUCCAAAUUGUUUAUAAACCGCCCAUUAUCAAAUUUCUCGUCGAUUGGUUUCCUAGCGGGGGGUACUGUAGAAAAUGGACACACGGAGAGAUAAGGAGAAUUGGGCAACUUUUAAUGGGAGAGAAAAGUUGCGGAAUUUGAGGGCUGGUCGGGAUCAGGGGUGUGCGGCAAAUCUCAAAAUUUGCCGAGCUCGGCAAAUUCGGCAAAUCUCUUUUUUCAAUAUUUGCCGAGCACGGCAAAUUCGGCAAAUUUGCCGUGCUUAACAAACUCGGAAUAAUUUUAUACUUUUUGAUGUUUUUUUGAGCACCAAAACUACUGAAUUCUUAACACUCAUCUGGUUUCUGAAUAAGUUCCGUGUAGUCUGUCUGCUUAAGCAUCAAAAUAACUCAAUUUUGUGUCAUUUUACUAAAUUUUUGGCGAAAAAAUCAAUGGUCUUAGUCAAAAUUGCACUCUCAAUUUUUUGACGUGUGCGGCAAAUUUCGAAAUUUGCCGAGCUCGGAAAAUUCUGCAAAUGUACUUUUUUGAAAUUUGCCGAGCUCGGCAAACGGCAAAUUCGGCAAAUUUGCCGCACAUUCCUGGUCGGGAUACUGUAGCUCAGAAUUCUGGCUCCUGGAGGUACUGUAGCUCAGAAUCGCUCUUGGCACCGGGGGUACUGUAGCCCAAAAUCGCUCUUGACAGGAGUACUGUAGCUCAGAAUCGCUCUUGACAGAAGUACUGUAGCUCAGAAUCGCUCUUGGCAGGGGUACUGUAGCUCAGAAUUGUUCUUGGCAGGGGCACUGUAGCUCAGAAUCGUUCUUGACAGGAGUACUGUAGCUCAGAACUGUUCUUGACAGGAGUACUGUAGCUCAGAAUUGUUCUUGACAGGAGUACUGUAGCUCAGAAUCGCUCUUGGCAGGGGCACUGUAGCUCAGAAUCGUUCUUGACAGGAGUACUGUAGCUCAGAACUGUUCUUGACAGGAGUACUGUAGCUCAGAAUUGUUCUUGACAGGAGUACUGUAGCUCAGAGUCUUAAAAGCUAUGUUCUCUUGAAGGAGGUGCAGCUGGGAAUCUAGAAGGCCCAGGAAAGCCGUAGCUUAGAAUCCGAAAGAUCAGACUUAUGGGUCAACUUUUCCACGUUUCCUUAUGGAAGCUGAGAAAAAUCCAGUGAAAUCCUUAAAAUUACACUGAUUUUCUAUAGUUUUCCGGAAAAUCGUCGAUUUUUUUGGAAUUUAGGAAUUUAUUUGAGUUUGGACAUUUCCAAAUGUCCACCGAAACGAAAAUUUGUAAUUUAUAAAAUCAAAUUAUCAAAUUUCGGCAAAUCCUAAGUUUUCUACGAGAAAAUAGACGACAAAGCCCAAAAAAUGAAGAAAUGGCCUGCGUUUUUUCCAGCUGAAACAGUGGCAACAUUUGGUACCGCCCGGGAUUCUUCUGCCCAGUGUAACCUUUCACAUCAGUAGUCUCUUCGUUUCACAAAAAAAGGUUCAGACACAAACCCUGGAGAUAAGAAAGUGGAUCGGGGCGACUUUUUCUGAAUUUUUUUCUUCCGAAGAAGACGGACGACGACGCCGGGUGGUGUUACAGUGUAAGGGUUCUCCUAAUCAAACAUCUCACCGGAGCAAUCGAUUGUGAUCUAUCUCUCUCUCUCUCUCUCUCUUUAAGUUUUGGUUUUCAUCAAAUAAAACCAGUUUCCCUCGCCAAGUCUCCUGGCGAUUGAUGGACUGUAACCAGUCACCCGGAACCUGGUUAACUUCUUCUCUCUCAUUUCCCUUUUGCCGUGUGUGUUGCCAUAGCGAGAAUGAAAGUGAAAGUUGAUUUUUUUUCCUUCAAUUUUUCUCUGUUUCUGCCAUGGCGGUAUACGGUACGACCCCCGCCGAUUACACAUUGGGAGGGAAACCGAAAUUUGAAAAGAGAUUUUUUGGGGGGAAAGAAGAGGAGGAGCACGGCCACCCGGCACGCUUAUCAAUUUUCGCCUCCUCCUCGCCAGCCUCGCCUCUCGGGUAGUACCCUUCACCAAUCACUGAUAACCCAUAUACAUGAUUGGCACGACAGUUUUUUAACGAGUUGUGCGGUAGGAGAAGCUGAUGGACGACAAUAAUGCGGACAUGAUUAUGGGCCUGAUGAGCUGGUAUUACACACAAGGUGAGCGAAAAGGAGUAUUUUUUCUUUGUCAAGCUGUGCUGAGAUGAAUCCUAAGGAUCCUUGGGAUCCUUCUCGAGAUCUUAAGAUCUUGUCUCUGAUCCGAUUCUCCAGCAAGUCCUCCGGAAUGUCCUUGGGAUCUUUCUGUUCUGAACGUAGCUCUCGAUCCUUGGAAGAAUCCUGGAUUUUUCGGCUUUGUUGGUCCUAGGGAUCCUUCAUACAGGAAGUUCUAUUGGAAUUCGAACUGGUUAGAAUCAUUGGCUUCUAGAAUCAGAAGCGUUCACUAUAACUCCUGAAGCUCAAGGAUCCUUGCAGGGAUCUACAAGCUUCGGAGUUCGGUAGCUCAGCUUCUACUUGAAAUUCUUUUUUGCCGGAAUGAAGCUAAAGCCUCGCUUCUGUUUAAGAGUUCCGGGUAGAAUUCUAGAUGACUUGUGAUGGCUCACCUCACCUUUUCAAAAGUACAACUCAUACGACCUCCCUGGAGACGUGGGAUCAGCUGAGCCCCUGAACUUUUCUCUCAAACACGUCAAUGCGAUAGCAGACAGUUGAACAUAAUUGUAGUGGUCAGCUUGUACUUUUCUCUUUUCGGCUUUUUUUUCACGGAGCUCACUACUCCUAGCCAAUUUGUAGUGGGGAGGCGGAGCCAAGAAUUCGCACUUUUCCCAUUGGCGGUCUCCUAACUUCUUAUCAGUUAUUUUAUAGUUUCCUCCGUGGCACCGCCGCCGCCGAAACCUAUUACUGUCAAGCGCCACCGAUGGGAAAAAAAUUGGAGAACUCGGCGGAGGGAAAUGCUAAUUAGAGUGCAAAAACGCGCGGCGCAAAGGCGCUCGCUCUAAUGAGAAACUCGGCCGAGCAGCAGAAGCAGGAGCUCUUUUCGAAGAGAGAGCACUUUCAGAUUUUUAAGUUUGAGAGGGAGGGAGAGAGUCUCCUCUCAUCGAUUAGAGCGUGUGCGAGGCCCUUUUCCGCCGGGGUGAGCCUUCUUCUGAAGCUUGAUCUAGAGCUUAAGCAAAAGAUCAAGCUGCACAGGCUUAACUAUAUUUCUAAGGCGUCCAAAGAUAUUUGGCGAAAAAAAACCGAACGUCACUGCAGCCUGAACCAGGUGUCAAUAAUUGACAGCCGGUUCGAUUGAAAUUUGCCACCUCUGAGAGCCUAAAAAAGCUGAGCUGCUCCUUCCUUCUUUUUGCUCACGUCGUCGUUCUCUCAUAUUUUCUCUCCCCUUUUUGCUCCUUUUUUCUCUCUUUUUUUCCGACACACACACACACACACACGAAUUCGUUCUGGACCGCCCAGAAGGCACGGACAUCUAGAGUUUCCCCGUCCUCUUUUUGCUCCUCCUAGUUUGUUAUUCUUUUCCUUGAAGAAUUUAUUGGCUACGGUAGUUGUUGAAGCUCACCACUUGAACAUGAAAUCUUGAAAAACCGAACACAUUGCUACUUUCAGCUGUUCUUCUUCUUCUUCGAACAGUGUGGGCGUGACUUUGCGCAGGCGGCUGAAAGCGAAAAUGUGAAGAAAACCCCAUAAUUUUGUUUCACGGCUCACACCUUGCUGAUUUAGUUGUUUGUUCAAGAGUGUUCCUCAUUUCAAGUUGAGUAAACUUUUCCUCUUGUUAUUUCGCUUCUGAUUAGUUGUGACGAUUGUUUUUUUGGAGUUAGGGGCUUCUAGGCCUACAAAAGCCUAGAAUAUAGGAUCUGGAGCUCUGAAGGUUCUGAAGAUUGGAUAAAGACUUUGGGAUCGAAAGUUCGAAUCCGAAGUUUAAGUCUGAAGCCUGAAGUUACAAGUUCUUUAAGCCCAGAGCAUAGGGCCCUCGGAAGUCUGAGAAAGAGCCUAGUGCUAGACUAGACUAGACAAGACUAGUGCUUUGAGCCUAAACCAAAGAGUCUAGACUUCGACCCUUAUGAGAUUACGGCGCGAGCCCUAUAAAUCUUGAAUCCUGAGUCCCUGACCACGGCUCCAAAAAUUUCUCCGAUUCUCUAGAUUCUAAGAACCCAGGCUUGCCUGCUAGCUUACCGUAGACCUCACUUAUCAUUUUUCGACGGUGUGUAUGUCUCCAAUCACCGCCCGUCUUUUUCUCCGUCAUCAGAGAUAGAUAGUGAGCCGGCCCGGUCGAGAAACGGAGCAGAAACUUAAAAGUGCAAAAAAAGGGCACUGAAGCAUUUGUGGCUCACUCACACACGCGGCGGCCCUCCCCGUCAGCUUCUCAUCAUCGCCCUGGAAAACGCAGCAGCAGAAGCAUCAGAAGGCGUUGGCGGGCGCGGCGACCGACCAUGGAGGCCUACUUGUUCCGGAGGGCGACUCUGGCGACAGCGCCGUGUACUCUUCUGCGCCUACUCGUCUCGUCUCUCGCACUCUUCCUUCCUAAUCAUAUAUUCAGUGCUUCGUUGAUCUCUUUUCUCGUCCUUCUCCAAGUGCCACACUAUUUUCUCUGGAAGAGUGUUGUCGUCUCGGCGCCGCGGCGCCGACCACCAGGACACUACGCCACACACGUUGCGAACGAGAGAGCCGGAGGGAGCAGCGACGGCGGCGGCGCCUGAAAAAAUGAAGAAAUGCGAGAGAGAAAGAGCAAGAGCAGAAGCACGCGUGUCUUGGCCGAAAUGUUUAUGCAUGGCGGCGGCGGCGAGGGACGAGUGAUGAUGAUGAUGACUCGGCGGGAAAACAGAAAGGGCAGCCAAUCCAAUGAACGUCGUAAACAACUUCUAUUGGGAGGUCCACAGGGAGGGGUUCUAUAGACUGAACUUCUGGAUUCAGGAGGCCUAUAGACCUUGGAACCGAGCUUAAUUAGAGCUUCAAGUGAGCCUUGAGCCAGGUAAUUUUUACAAAGCCUGUAGAGCUUUCGGAGCAGCAUAGACUUGAAAAAAGCAAUAGCAGUUUUCAAGAAAAUUACACAUUGAACAUCUUUCUGAACCCAAAAUGGGAAUUUUCCAUCGAGAAAGAUGCGGCAGCUUUUCUGAGAGUUUCAAGGAAAUCCCUUCCGAAAGAAAAUUGCUCUUUGCAGUCUUUUUUUAAGCUCAUACACGGAUUAGCCUCCGGGAAACAUUAUGCAGACGUUGUCUAAUCCGACAGACAUCUCUAUGCCGAGCACUUAUACGUCCUUGAUUUUUACGAUUUCGAGAUUUCCUGCACCGGAACCCUGAAGCCCCUCAAGGCAACCGAAAAAGUCCGCCAAACCUACCGUACUCCUCCAGUUGGCAACUGAUUAGCGCGACUUUCUCUCCUGUCACUAAUCUCCUAAUUUACGACACCCCGUCGUCCGUUAUCUUCUUCUCAAAUUUCACUGGGUUUACGGCUGGCAGCAGCAGUGGCAGUGGCAGCAGCAGACCACCUUCAGUACCGCCCAUUCGUUGUACCGUACUCCCCCUCUUCCGCUCUCGGUGAAUCAUUUUGUUUUUGGCUUACUCGGGAAGCGCUUCACAUUUCUUCAAAGCUGCUUCUCAUUUUCUGAUCCUCUGAUCCGUUCAUCCUCUGAUCCUUUCCAACUGCUCCUAGUUCUCUCGUACUUCUUUCUGAUUGUCUGCUCUUUGAAGCACGCUAGAUCUCCCUAGCGAUUCGGUGCUUCGCAGAAGGCUUCUCAGAAACGAUACUCCGUCUCUUCUUGAUCGUUCUACACAUCUGAGAAGGUUCGAGAAGCAGAAGACCAAUUUUUUCGAUUUCCUGAUCUUCCGAAACCUCUUUCCUCCAAUCCCACCGAAGCUUCUACUGAUCCUUCGAUCCUUCUUGUUCCAUCCUUCCUCUCUACCGUACUCCUCUGCCCUCCUUUUCCCUCUGAUGUUCUCUUUCAACCUCCCUUCGAUCCUUCCACCUCUUCUUCUACCAUCCCACUGAUCCUCCGAUCCUUCUAGCGAGCAUGGAAGAUCACAGCGAGGAAAUGUCCCCGCCAUCACUUCUGGAGCAUCAUUUCCUCUCCACCAUCGACAAGGACGCAUCGUCCAACUCGUCAUCCUUCCUAUGGUCUUCACCUGGAUCCUCCACCUCAUCCGAUCAAUCUUCUUCACUCAACAACUCAUCCAUCAGCUGGCCCUCGUCGGCUUCUUCCUCGGCCUUUACCUCUCCGGAAGAGUCGAGCACCAAACGAGUUGGCCUGUUUGAUAAUAAUAAUUGGGGUUUCGGCCUCCGUGCAUUGCUACAGCAUGUCUCUGAGACGCUUUGUAAGUUGGCGCUUUUGGAUUUGGAGUCCUCGUGAGCCCUAGGAAAUUGAAAUUUUGAAAAAUUUCACAAAAAAAACCCUCCAAUAAUAUCUUCUUCCAGUGGCCCAACAAUCCGGAGCAUCUCAAGUUUUUCCGACAUUUCAAGCAGCUCUCGGAGCAUCAUCCGAUGAGCUUCUUCAGCCGAAUGCCACGUCAUCAUCCACGUCAUCCUCCGCGUCGACAUCGUCAAUUGUGCCAGUGGUGAAGUUUACGAAUCAAACAGCACCAAAUGGUAGUACGGUUGCCACGUCAGUCGGGCAAAAUGUUCGACUUACCAUUAAUGUGAGUUUUUUUUGCGCGCGAAUUUUGGCAAAAGCUAGGAAUUUUGAAACUUUCUCGAAAAAAUGAAUUUUUUGCUGAUUCUCAGAAUUUUCCCAAUUAUUACAAGAAACCGGCAAAUUUGCCAAUUUUUAGAUUUCUUUUUGGUAUUUUGGUAAUCAGGGCUGGGUGGCAAUUGCCACUCGGCAAAUUUUUUGUAGGCAAAUCGGCAAUUAGCCGGUUUGGAAAUUUUCAUUUUUGGUAAUUGUCGUUUGCCGGAAAUGUUAAAUUUCGGCAAUUUUCCAAUUAACCGGAAAUUUCAAAUUCCGGCAAUUUGGCGGUUUGCCGAUUUGCCGGAAGUUUUCUAAUCCGGAAAUUUGCCGAUUUGUCAAAAAAAAAUCCGCAACUUUCACAUGUGGCAGUAAAUUUAAAAGUUGCCGAUUUCCCGAAUUUUGGUGCUUUCUGCCAAAAAUCUGAAAACCUAGUGAAUUUCCGAUUGCCGAUUUUCCGAAUUUUCCCGUUUUACAAUAAAACUAUUGUUUCCAGGGAAAACGUGUCGGACGUCCGCCGGGAACCUUCAAACGACCACAGUAAGUUUUUUUUUUGCCUGAUUUUCUGGAAAUGGUGCCUAUAAGAGAGAGUACUUUCCAGAAACAACGCUGCCAACAGUUCGAACAGUGGAAAUGAUUCGGAUAUGAUGGGAGAUCACGAUUUGACAUGUCGUUGGAAGUCGUGUAACUCUAGUUUCCAGACUCUCAAGGUAUUGGAAAAUGCUCGAAAAUUGACAUUUUGCGCUUAGCUCGACUGAAUUAGUGUAGACUUUUUAGAUUUGAAAGAGUGUGCUCGAAGUUUUGUGCAUUUUUUUUGUAAACCAUGAAAUUGUAUCGUAUUGUGUCAAUUUUGGUGGUUUUAGGUGCUUCUUUUAGAUGGAUUUUUGAAAUUUUAAAAAAUAUAUGCCUAAUUUUGAAAAUUAUCGAAGUUCUGCCAAAAUUCCUGAUUUUUUAAAACUGAGGAACGUUUUUUUCCUAAUUUGAAAAAAAGUACAUAUAUCAGGUGGGUGGCAAUUGCCGUUCCACAAAUUCGGCAAAUUUCAAUUCCUCCAAUUUGCCGAUCUGCCGGAAAACAUCGUUUGCCGCCCAUCUAUAUAUGUAUAUAUAUAUAUAUAUAUAUAUAUAUAUAUAUCAUCGUAGGAAUAGUUUUAAUCAUUUUCUCCCAAAAAAAACGCCUCAAAAAUUGUCAGGCACUAGUGGAUCAUGUUCAAGAAAGUCACGUCCAAUCAACUGAACAAGAACAUCACGCAUGGCGUUGUGAGUGGGAAGGAUGUGAUCGAAAUGAGACGUUCAAAGCAUUGUACAUGCUCAUUGUGCAUGUUCGACGUCAUACAGGCGAGAAGCCCAACAAGUGUGAGGUUGGUUUUGGUGGUGAUAAUGAGAUUUGAGAUGAUAUAAUGCCCACUUUUCCUUAUGGUUUUGAUGGAAAUUAUGGUCUCGGAAAAGUGUCUCGGAAAUUUUGAAAAAAAAUUUUUUUUUUCUGAAAAUUCGGAACGACUUUUUUUUUAAACAACAUUUUCGAGCAAUUUUCUGAGCACUUUCUCUCAAAAUUCACAUUUUUCUACCUCUUAGCUUUUCCCUUUUUUUUUGUUUUACCUCGUUUGUGUGUUUUUCGUGAACAUUGUGAACAAAAACUAGCUGAUUAGUUAAUAAAUUUGUCAGAAAAAAAAAAUUUCAUUUGAUUUUAUUCCAGAAAAAUCUGUUUUAAAGAAAUUUUUAAAAAAUCUGGUUCAUACAAUUUUAAAGGUGGAGUACCGAAAUUUGAGACUUUGUUUUUUAGACACAAAUUGGUCCAAAACUACCGAAUUUCGUAAUGAGACGUUUUGAAAAUUUCUCAAAAAACGGUUAUGGUGGCUCAAAGUUCGGCAAAAUAAGGCCCAUUUUCAUCUAAAAUCAAAAUUUGUUCCAACUUCUCGGUGCCGCGACGUCUCGAGCUUAAUUUUUAUUUAUUCAUCAUUUUUUAAUAAAUAUUGUGGCCUUUGAUUGUGCGUUUAUUCGUUGAUUUAAGUACAUUAUGGUCUUUGGGGCUCAAAAUGUAACUUUUAUUUAACGAAUAAACGCCCAAUGAAAGACCACAAUAUUUAUUAAAAAGUGAUGAAUAAAUAAAAAUUAGGUUCCAGACGUUGCGGCACCGAGAAGUUGGAACAAAUUUUGAUUUUAGCUGAAAAUGGGCCUUAUUUUGCCGAACUUUGAACCGCCAUAACUUUUUUUUCAGGAAUUUUCAGAACGUCUCAUUACGAAAUUCGGUAGUUUUGGACCAAUUUGGGUCUAAAAAACCACCUUUAAAUAGAAGAUUAUGGAAACUUUCAAUAAUUGGAAUAUUUGAAAAUUCCAAGAAAUGUAUCAAAAAUUCGAUUCCCCCCAUUAUAAAAUAGAAGAACUGUAUAACUAUGGAGUAUAAGAGAGUUUCCCCCUCUAAUUUACAGUAUCCUGGAUGCGGAAAAGAAUACAGUCGACUCGAAAACCUGAAAACCCACCGGAGAACUCAUACAGGCGAGAAACCAUACAAAUGCGAGUUUGCCGACUGUGAGAAGGCGUUCAGCAACGCGUCGGAUCGUGCCAAACAUCAGAAUCGUACACAUUCGAAUUUGGUAGGUCACGGUGUAGUAGAGGGAGGAAUAGGGGGAAAUUGCCGGUUUGCCGGAAUUUCUCAAUUCUGGCACUUUGCCGGUUUGCCGAUCUGACGGAAAUUUUAAUUUUUGGCAAGUUCUGCAAACUGCCGGUUUGCCAAAUUUGCCGGAAUUUCUCAAUUCCGGCAAAUUGACGAAAUGCCGGAAAUUUUCAAUACCGGAACUUUGCCGGUUUGACGAUUUGCCGGAAUUUCUCAAUUCCGGCAAGUUGACGAAAUGCCGGAAAUUUUCAAUACCGGAACUUUGCCGGUUUGACGAUUUGCCGGAAAUUUUCAUUUUCGCCAAAUUGCCGAUUUGCCGGAAUUUAUCAUAUCGGGCAAUUGCCGUUUGCCGGAAAUUUUAAAUUUUGACAACUUGCCGAUUUGCCGGAAAUUUUAAAUUCCGCAAACUUGCCGAUUUGCCGGAAAUUUUAAAUUCCGCCAACUUGCCGAUUUGCCGGAAUUUCUCAUAUCCGGCAAUUGCCGGUUUGCCGGAAAUCUAAAAUUCCGCCAACUUGCCGAUUUGCCGGAAAUUUUGAAUUCCGCAAACUUGCCGAUUUGCCGGAAAUUUUGAAUUCCGCAAAAUUGCCGAUUUGCCGGAAAUUUAAAAUUCCGCCAUAUUGCCGAUUUGCCGGAAUUUCUCAUAUCCGGCAAUUGCCGGUUUGCCGGAUAUCAAUUUGCCGGAAACACUUAAAACUGUGCCUUUUUGAAAUUUUUUUUCCCGUUUUCUUUAGAUAUUUUCAUAGAAUUUGCUUAAUUUUUCAAAAUAGAUGAAGGAACAUUCAUAGGAUGCGUACAAUUUUGCCGAUUAAAAUUGAAAUUCCAAAAUUUCGAGAAAAAUGAAUGUGAAAAAUCACAAUUUGCCGGAAAAUUCGGCAAAUUUUCAAUUCCGGCAAUUUUUUUUUGACUCAUUGCGAGAAAAAUUGCGAGGAGAAGUUUAAAUGUUUCACUUUAAAGGCUUUAAAUACCGUUUUAAAUUUGGAAUUUUUAACAGUAGAGUUUAAAAAAAUAUAACCAUAUGAUAGAUCAAAAUAAGACCUAUGUCGGGUUUUUUAAAUAUGAGGAAUUUUUUCGCACUGUCUUUUUAUUACGUAAACGCAUAAUUCUGAGAAUGCGUAUUGCACAACAUAUUUGACGCGGAAAAUAUAACUAUAUCCCAUAGCGAAAACUACAGUAAUUCUUUAAAUGACUACUGUAUCGCUUGUGUCGAUUUACGGGCUCGAUUUUAGAACUCAUUUCAAAAUCGAGAUCCCGUAAAUCGACACAAGCGCUACAGUAGUCAUUUAAUGGAUUACUGUAGUUUUCGCUACGAGAUAUAGUAAUAUUUUGCGCGUCAAAUAUGUUGCACAAUACGCAUUCUCAGAAUUUUGUGUUCCCGUAAUGAAUUCAUACUAAUAUGACUGAGUAAGACAGUAACAGUAACAAUAAAAAAAGAGGGACAAUAAUUUUUAAAAAAUCAAUUUCCGUCACGCUGCGAUACGUAAAAGUUGACGAAAUUCGAAAAAUAUUUUAAACCAGUAUAAACAUUUUUUUAAAGGCAAUUUUCAAUAGUUUCGUUGUGAAAUUUGGUCGUUUUAAGUCUAAAAAUUGUUUUAAAAAAAUGUUUUUUGUUCAAUUUUUUCGAAAUAGCUUUGUCCCCCGUUGUCGCCUACUAAUCCGAAUAGGAAUAGCUAUAUAAAUGAUUCAGAAUUCUACAAACCACGGGACUUCUUCCCGAACAACAAGAUUUCCAUUGCAGAAACCAUAUAGUUGUCAAAUACCGCAAUGCACAAAAUCCUAUACGGAUCCAUCGUCUCUUCGGAAACACAUCAAAGCUGUACACGGAGAUGAUGAAUAUGAAAAGGCCAAGAAAUCACGUCCGGCAAACUAUUCGAAUCGUCGACGACCGGAUCAUCGUUUGGCUCCGCCGACUGGAGCAAUGUCUCAUCCGUAUCUGGCAACGCCGAACUCAGGGGCUUCUGUUGUGGCUCACUCGAGUGUGCAUCAGCAGAAUUUUGUGAGUUGAGAGGAUGAAUUUUGAAGGAAAAUUGGAAUUUGUGAAUAAAAAAUGCCAAAAAAAUUCCCAAUUUUUGGCAAAAUUAUAAGGGAUUUUUUUUUUUGAAAAAAAAAUUCUCGAAAAAAAGAAGAUUUUUUUCUGCAAAAUUGAAAUUUUUUAGUGGAAAAAAAUUAAAUUUCACCCAAUUUUUUUUCUGGAAAAAUUGAUAAAUUUGCUAAUUUUUCAAAUUUUCAGAAAAAAAGAUCAAAUUGAAAUAAAUAUAAUUUGCAAAUUUUUUUGAGGUAAAAAACUUUAUCAGAGCCGUUUUUUAAAAGAAUUUUUCUCAGAAAAAAUUGGAAAACACUGAAUUUAUUUUUUAAAAAUUCAAAAAACAAAGUUUUUGAAGAAAUUUUAUUUUUAAAAUUAUUUUUCAGAAAACUUUUGUGAAAAAAACCAAAAAAGGCUUGUUUAGCUGAAAAAAAUGCAGUAAAAAUUUGUGGAAAAAUUCAAUUUUUUCAUGAAUUUUCGAGUUCAAAUGUGUAAAAAAUUCUAAAUUUCCGAGAAAAAAAUUCAAUUUUUUUUUAAAUUUAAAAUUUGUACCUGUUUGGCAAAAAAUUGGAAUAAAAACGUUUUUAUUGAUUUUUCCAAAAUUUUGGAAUUUUUUUCAAUCCAAAAAAUGCGCAAAUUUCAAAUUUUUCUUAAUUUUGCAUGAUUUUUUUCAAAAAAAAUUUCAGAAAAUUAGGCUAGUUUGGCUAAAAAUUGAAGUAAAAAAUUGAAAUUUGUGGAAAAAAGUUGAUUUUUUGAUGAAUUUUCGAGUUCAAAUGUUGGUAAAAAAAUUUCUAAAUUUCCGGAAAAUUUUAAAAAAUUGAACCAGUUUGGCUGAAAAUGAUUUCAAAAAUUUGGCUGAAAAUUGCAGUAAAAAUUGAAAUUUAUUUUUAAAAAAUUUUUAUUUUUCAAUUUAAAAUUAGGUUUUUAGUGGAAAAAAGUUAAUUUUUUGAUGAAUUUUUUUUCGAAUUAAAAAAAAUUCCAACAAAAAAAAAACGUUUUUUUAAUUAUUUUUCCGAAACCUUAAAUUUUUUCAAUCAAAAAUUUAAAUUUUUUGCAAAAAUCAACAAAACUUCCCAAAUUUCCCAAAUUUCCCAAAUUUUGCAUGCAUUUCCAACCAUACUUUACCUUCUGCCCCAUCACAAAACCUUUUCCCCCACCACCCACUCAUUUUCCGUUUUUUCUUCUUCUAGAUCAACAUGGCUCUGGCUCAACAUCAUCAUAAUGCUCAACGUGCUCAACAACUCAUGGCCGCGGUACGGUCAUAAACUUUUUUUUUCCAUUUUUUUCUGUGUUUUUUUCUAAUCCAAACAAUUAGCGUUAGUCUAACACCCACAUAUCACUUUUUAUCCCCCCAGUCAACACGUGAAUUUUCACACAAAAUCUAUCCAUUUUCGGUUGUUUUGUUUAGUUAUUUACCUUUUAAUUUUUUGAUCUGAAGUCGUUUUAGUUAAAGGAGGACUAACGGUUCUGACGAUUUUGAACAUAUAGACCUAAAAUGAGCUCAAAUAAACGAAUUUCGUAAUGAAACUGCUCAAAAAAUUUUCAAACGUUUUUUAUGGCGGUUCAAAAUUUUGAAAAAAUUCCACUGAUUUUAGCUAAAAUCACGAAUUUUUCCCAUUUUUUGUUGAAAUUAUCGUCCUUUUUUACAUAUAUUGGUAGUUUAUCUCAUUUCUUUUUCGUCGAUUAAAGUACAUUUAAAGCCGAUAGGUAACCAAUUUCGAUGAUUUUUGGUUACCUAUCGGCUUUAAAUGUACUUUAAUCGACGAAAAAGAAAUGAGAUAAACUACCAAUAUAUGUAAAAAAGGGCGAUAAUUCCAAAAAAGUCAACUUCGGACAGGAGCUGACACGGAGAAACGGGAAAAAUUCGUGAUUUUAGCCAAAAUCAGUGUAAUUUUUUCAAAAGUUUGAACCGCCAUAAAAAAUUUUCGAAAAAUUUUUGAGCAGUUUCAUUACGAAAUUCGUUUAUUUGAGCUCAUUUUAGGUCUAUACGUUCAAAAUCGUCAGAACCGUUAGUCCUCCUUUAAAAGUGCCAAGAAAUGGGCGUGGCUAGUAAUUUUUGAUUUUCCAAUGAAAAAUCGGACAUUUUUGAUCAAAAAUGAACGUUUUCUGUCAAAUAAUUCAAAAUUGCCUAGAAAUGGGCGGAGCUUAUAAUUUUUGAAAUUGCAACGAAAAAUCAAAAUUUUUUUUAUCAAAAACCACGUUUUUAGACGGAAAUCUCCAAAAACUGCCAAGAAAUGGGCGGAGCUUGUGGUUUUACGAAUUUUUUGCAAAAAAAAUUUUUUUCGGCAUUUUUUGGUGAAAAAUUUCAAAUUUCGGUAGAAAUACGAUUUUUUAAAAACUGCCAAGAAAUGGGCGGAGCUUGUUUAUGCUAGAAACUUUAUUUUAAAAAGCAAAAUUUUUAACGUAAAGCGUAGUUUUUUUUUUCAAACGAAAAAAUUGCCAAGAAAUGGGCGGAGCUUGUAGUUUUACGAUUUUUUGCCAAAUUUUUCGGCAUUUUUUGGUCGAAAUAGUUCGAAAUUGCCAAGAAAUGGGCGGAGCUUGUUUAAUCUAAACAUUUUAUUUUGAAACCUAAUUUUUUCAACCAAAAAAAUACAUUUUUUGUCUUAAAACUAAAAAAUUUAGGUUAAAAGUGGGCGGAGUUAACAUUAAAAAAAACCAAAAAGGGGCGGAGCCUGCAAACCACGCCCACAAAAUGGACACACUUUUUGACGUUUUUCGAAAUUUUUUGAAGCACUAAAUUUAAGUUUGAAGCUGGAAAUUCUGGAAAUUCGAGAAUUUUCAAAACAAAAAAAUUUAAACUCCGCCCAAAAAAUAGGCGGAGCCUGCAACAAUAAAAUAAUUUAAAUUUUUUUACAGACCGGAAACGUGAUGCCAAUGAUGGACCCAGCUUCGGCUGCGGCAGCGGCUCAGGCUCAGGCUCAUCACCAGGCUCAGGCCCAAAUGCUCCAAACUCAUAUGAUGCAGCAGGCUCAAAUACAGGCCGCAGCUCAGAUGCAGGCACAGGUUCAACAUCAGGCGGCGAUGCAGGCACAUGCGAUGCAACAGGCACAGAUGGUCCUUCAGAACAAUCUGCUCGGCGCGCAGAGCCUGCUGAGCCCGUUUUCUCCGUUGCUUCCACCGUCACGAGCUCCGAAUGUUAUGGCGAUGCUCCAGACUCCACCCACACCGACUUCGGUGGCUCCGAUGUUUGAUAUUAUGACGUCACGAGCGCCGAUGGCUCCAGUAGUUUCUGCUCCGACAGCUCCAGCUCCACUAGUGCCUGCCCCAGUUCCAGCAUCUCCAGUAUUCGAUGAGCUCCGCGAGCAAAUGCGUGAAGUAGAGCCCCUGCAGCAGCAGCAGCAGCAGGAGCCCAUGGAUCAAGAUCUCCAAGAUAUUCGAGUUGAUGGUGACUCUGACGAUGAAGAUGAAGAAGAACCAAGAACUCCAUCCGGAGCACUGCUCUUGCCACGUGGCGGUAACAACGGCGAUGGAGGAUUCGGUGGAUCGGGAUCGUCGAGAGCAUCCAGUGGAAGUGGAACCAUGGAAUUGUCGGCUGCUCCGAUUAGUCAGAAUGGGAGCCGAGCCAGUGGCUCUGGCGAGAGGGGAAUGAGAAGUUAGUGGGGGAAAACAAUUUGAAAAAUGGCGAAAAUUUAAGCAGAUUUAUCGGAAAAUCGGCAAUUUUGCCCAAUUUUUUCAGAAAAAUUUCAGAUUUUCUCUAAUAUUUCCAAAAAAGAAACUUUUCCAGGCUUCCUGAUUGCUGACAUUCUCCAACUCGCGGCGGAUUUUCAAAAUGAACGUCUUCUCAGCGAUGGUAGGUUGUAAUGGUAGGCAGGCGCGGUUUCAGGGCCUGCCUGAAACCUGCCGGAAACAAUUCAAAACCGUUUACAGUACUCGACUUGGCGAUCUUCGACACCCGAGAUGUGCGUUCCCUCCACAACAUCUACCAAGUCUACAUUCGCGCGCACAAAGCAAUUCCCAUAACCCGUCGUCCAUUAGACUGGAAUGAAACUCAUCAACUCCAUAAUCUCUAUCAUGAUCCACGCUUCAACCGUGCCGAGCAUCAGGACUCGCCCGCCAUUCGCGACAGAGAUACCAGGUUCUGGAGGACAAUCGCCGAGGCGAACACGAUGAGACAACGACAAAUCGAGCCGGUGCCGUUGGAUGAUGAUGAUGAGGGAUAUUUUGAUGAGAUGGUGCAUCGAGUGCAGAAUGGGCGGCUCAAUGAGCAAUUUAUGGAGGGAUUCGAGUCGGAUGAUGAUGAUGGUUUUGAGGAUGAGGAUGAUGUUCCAGGUUUGUGUUUUUAAGAAAUAUAACACAUAGUAGUAGUGUAUUAGAUUAUACAUAUAUCAUGUGAAGUUAUAAAAUAUAGUACAUAUAUAGUAUAUCAAUAUUUACUAUAUGUAAGUAUUUAAAUGUUAAGAUCGUAUAUAAUAUCAGUGGUACGAUAUAUAAAAAUAUUCAGUAUGUUAGUAUAUAUCUAAAGUUUAAAGUUUAGAUACUAUUUACUAACAUACUAAACAUUUUUAUAUAUCGUACCACUGAUAUUAUAUACGAUCUUAACAUUUAAAUACUUACAUAUGUAGUAAAUAUAGAUAUACUAUAUGUGUACUAUAUUUUAUUCUAAACGUAUAAGGUAUCUAUUAAUAUUAUAGAUACUAGAUAUGUAUAUUAGUAUUAUAGUUUAUCGAAUAUUAUACUAUAUAUUAUGUGAAAGUCUUUUAUUCUUUAUAUAUAUAUAUGAUCGUACAAUUUAUUUUUAAGUAUGCAACAUAUAGUAAAAGUAAUAUUAUAUAUGUAGUAUAUUAGUAUAUAGCAUCUAAACAUAUAGAGUAUAUAUUACGAGUAUAUGUAUAGUACUAUAUAAGUAUAUAGUCUUCAAAUCUUUAUAGAUAUUUUUGUAUCAUUCAUUUUUAACAUAUAGUAAUAGUAUAUAAAAGUAUAUAAGUAAUAUUAUAUAUGAAUAUACUAUGUUAGUAUAUAACAUCAAAAGUAUAAAGUAUAUAAACUAGUGUAUAUAUUAUUUUGGUCCAAAUAAUAUAUAAAAUGAUUAAAGUGUUUAUAAAACCCUACCUUUAGAAAUUUUUUGAUUGCUUUUUCUUUUUUAUUUUAACAAAAAACUUACUUAAUAAGGAAUUAUACUAUUUUUCAAUAGUUAUACCUAUUUUUUUUAGCAGAUCUUUAAUUACUUCUGAAGUGAAAUUUCCCCUUUUCAGGCCUCGGAAUCGCGGUAUAUCGCGGAAGACGUCGAGUUCGACGUGAAGCUUUAAAACAGGCAAAUCUCGAUAUUCAAGAAGCUGAAACUGCUGGCAGAAAUGUCGGAGGAUUCGGAGAUGAAGAGGAUCGAAAUAACCGGGGACACGAUCAGGAUAGAAGCUUCUUGGAUCAUUACUAUCCUCCGAUGGUGGUGGUGGUAGAGACUGAGAGUCCGCAGAUUGUGAGAGAUCAAGAAAUGAUGAGACAAUUUGAAGAGGCGAAGAAAAAUGUUGAGACGGAUGAGAUUAAGAAGCGAGCUGAAGCUAUGCAGUUUGGAGUGAGUAGGCAUGAAAAUAAAAAAACGCACCUCGACUUUGGCGGAAAAUUCAAAUUUUCUGAAAGAAUAAAUUUUUGCGAGAAAUUCAAAUUUUAUGUAAAGCAAUUAUUUUUGCGGGAAAUUCAAAUUAUACGAAAAAAAAAUUUUGGCGGAAAUUUCAAAUAUUCCGAGAAAAAAUUUUUGCAGAAAAUUCAAAUUUUUUUUCAAAAAAUUUGUCGGAAAAUUCAAAUUUUAUUUUAAAAAAACAUUUUUGCCGGAAAUUCAAAUUUUCUGAAAUAUUAUUUUGGUGUACUUAGUAAAACUGAAAUUUUAUGAAAAACAAUUUUUUUUCGGAAAUUUCAAAUUUUCGAAAAAAUAUUUUUUCAAAAAAAUCAAAUUAUUCCAGACCUCCAGCAGCCACCAUCACACAAAAACGCUUCUUAUUCAACGUGCGUUAUUCGAUAAAACGAGCUCAGUGCGUCGAAGUCUUCUCCAAUUCAUCACAAUCUCUGUUGAUCAGGAAGAGCUCCGUCAGAGCUGCCACGCGACGUCGGCUCCGCAGGGAGCUCAUGUUGUGCACAAUGUGGUUGAUGGUAGGGAAAUUUGGAUUUUCAGAAUUUUUCUUUUUUGGAAUUGUUGUAAGGUUUUGUUAAAAUGUUCAAAUUAUUUUCAAGUAAUUUUAGAUCUAGACUUGGACUUAGGCUUAGGCUUAGGCUUAGGCCUAGGCUUAGGCUUAAUCUAGGCGUAGGCUUAGAUUUAGGCCCCCGAUUUAAAAAUAAAAUACAAUUGAGAACAUUUUUCACCAAUUCCCAUAUUUCCAGAAUUCGACAGUAUCAUGCGUGCACAAGAAGACUCGAACAACCGUAUUCUUCUUUCUUUGGACAUCCCCGCUCCAUCAGCAGUCACGGGAGUCUCCGGCUCCAUUACCCAUGCCGAUAAUUCGGCUCUCCAGCUCCAGCAGGAGCAACCGGUACGGCGGUUCACUCAAAAAAUUUUCCAAAGAAAAUUAUCGAUUUUUUGGGAAAAAAUCGAUUUCCAAAAAAUGGCGCCUUUUUUUACCAAAAUUAUCAAUUUUCCAAAAAAAAAUAAUGAAAAAAUCAAUUUUUCGAAAAACAAAAUAUCGAUUUUCUAAAAAAUUAUCGACUUUACAAAAAAACAUUUUUUAAAAUCAAAAUUAUCGAUUUUUUAAACUAUCGAUUUUUAAACAAAUGUUUCAAUUUUUCAAAAAAUAAUUGUCUAUUUAAUUUCAAAAUUAGUCCACUUUUUUCGGCAUUUUUUAAAAGUUAAUUUCAGAUUUUUUCCACAAAAAAUUUAUUUUUUUCAGACAUCCUCAUUCUCGUCGUGGUUCCCAGAAGAUGAUCCGAUCUACGCGUUACCGCCACCGCCACCGCCGCCGGCACCACCACGUCGCCGACGUUCCGCCGACAAUAAGGACGAUUCGGAGAAUAUUCCCAAAAAGCCACGUCAUCAAUUUUAAGACCCCCAUUCAUUUUUUUUGUGUGUGCUCCCAUGACUAAUGUACCAUGACGUUUUGAGCCAUAUAUAGGCAUAUAUAGUCCAUCCACUCUUUUUUUUUGUUUCAAACUUUACCACAAUUCAUAUUUUUCUCCAUUUUUCUCGCUCUCUCACGAGCACGGGAUUCUGGUUUUCCUCGUUGAAUUUUUUGCGCUCUAUUGACAAUCGCCCGCCGGACAAGUGGUGUACUCCACACGGACAAAUGCGUGUAGUUUUACAACUAAAAUCGAGACGCGACGCGACACGCAACGCGCCGUAAAUCUACCCCAGUAAUGGCCGAGCCAAAAUGGUCUAGUUCGGCAACAAAGUUCGGCUCGGUUUGUCCGUGUGGAGUACACGAGCCUUCCCACGCGUUGUCCGGCAGUCAAUUGUCAAUGGAGCGCAAAAAAUGCAUUGGGGAAGGCCAGAAGCCUGUGUCUGUCUCUCUUUCUCUAUCAUGUUGCAACUUUUCUUAGGAAUUAUUCUAUAAUAGUGAGUACCUUCUUGCCCCUCUCUACAUUUUAAGCCAGUUUUUUAAGCCAAGCGACAAAGAAAAAAUCCCCACAAAAAUUUGAAAUUUGAAAUAUUACCCGCACCCCCAAAAUUUCGAUCUCUCCUACUCUUCGCCCACCACUUGCAACAAAUUUGUUUUUAUUUUCUUUUUUAUUUUUUAUUUUUUUGUUUUUUAAUUCUCCCCAAAAAAUCUCGCUCUCUAUCCCAAUUCUUAACCGUUUUCUAUCCGAGCCGCCCGAAAAUUGUGCUCCGUCCAUUUUUUUUUCUAUGAAUUGAAUUUUUUUUCUUCUCAAAAAACCCCCAUGAUUCGUUUUUUCGUAUCUCUGCAUCUCUCUCCCCGUUCUCUGCAAAAUUUGAACAAAAUUGUAUAUCCCCCACCGCUGAAAUAGUUUUCAAAAAACAUCACCCCCCUCCACUCACUAGUUUUCCAUUAGAUUCACCCCCUGUUUUUUUCCUGGAAAAUCGAUAAUUUUCGAGGUUGGAAUUUCCUCGAAAAUUAUCGAUUUUCCACUGUUUCCAGUCUGUCACAACAUAUCUGUCACUCUCUGUCCUUUCCCAAUUUUUCUGAAAAUUUCAAAUUUUCUACGCACUUUUUUAAAUUUUUUUUUCUCUGUCCCCCCGUCUCCCGUGAUGUUCCAAAUAUUUCAUUCUAAUGAAACGUAAUAUAAUUUUUAUUUUCAUUUGUUUUUUUUUGAGGGGAAAAAAGAAGAAAGUUCUAAAUUUAAUUCAUUUCCAAAUUCCUCGAGUUUUUUACGCCAAAUUUAUUCAAGUUUUGAGAUUCUAGAGUGAGUAAGUUCUUUUUUUUUAUUGCACCAGCACAAGCCCCGCCCACAAAAUAGUUGCGGUGUUUAACUUGUUAAACCCCGCCCACAAAAUGGAUGUGGUUUUAAACUUUUUUGAAAAAUAUGUCCGAAUUGUCAUCAUUUCUGAAAUUUCGCGAAAGGGCGCGAUUUCUGAAGUUAAAAUUUAGAGGAGGCGGUCUUUCCCCCACUAUGGGCGGAGUCGGGUAGUUAGAUUAAGCCACGCCCACAAAAUGGACAGAGCCAGGCACACGUGAUGUCAGGCUGUCCCAUUAAGGUUUGAUCUACAAAAAAUGCGGGAAUUUUUUGCCCAAAAAAAUGUGACGUCAGCACACCCUUAACCAUGCGAAAUCAGUUGAAAGGUCUGCGUCUCGUCUCCCGCAUUUUUUGUAGAUCAAAUUAAAAUGGGACACUUUGACACCACGUGCAGGCAGGCAAUGCCCAUUAGAAAAAUAUAGUUUUGUUAAUUUGGGUACUAACUAAUUUCUACUUUUUUAGUUUACUUUUCCAGUUAGGCCCCGCCCACAAAAUGGUCAACCCCGUUUUGCGGGGGAAAUUCAAAUUUUCUCUAGAAUCUUGCUACGAAACCCUAAAAUUCAAUUGUUAGGUUUCGCAAAUUAUUGUGAACUAAAAGUGUUAAAAGUUAGUCAAGCCACGCCCACAAAAUGGACGUUUUCCUUUCAGUGGACGAAGAAUAUGUGAAUCUCACCGAAUUGAAGCCUGCGCCCGCAGAAAAACAACAAAAAAGCGGUGCCACAUAUGUUGAUCUGGCAGAUGUGAGGUCUCAACUGCCGCCGCCUCCUCCAUCGGUGGGUCCAAAAGGAGUAAGACUUGCUCCGAAGAAGCCGCACCAACACCGCCCACGCAGGCAAUUUCGUUCGGUUCGGCUGCCGAGAACUCCGAGCAGAAAUUCGCCACUGACACCGCCAACCAAAACUCCGCCCCACACGCCAACUCGGACUCCGACCACCGAGUCACCAGUUGCUCCGAGGACUCCAGGGAAAGUUGUGAUUUCAUCUGUUGAAAAGCAAGAAAGUUCAGGUUGAUCAUUUGAGAAAAAUUAAUUUUAUUAUAAUACAGAAAUAAUUGUAGCACCCGAUGAGUCGACCAUCGCUGCAACGCCUAAAAAAUCGUCGAAAAAAUCACCGAAAGAACAGAAUUAUGACGAUGAAGUCUCGGUUCGUGAUAGCCUUUUUGAAGAUGUUGGCGAUACAAAGUCGCCGCCGGAUUUUCUUACUGUAAGUUUGUUGUUUUUUUUUUCCGUUUGGGUCUCGCAACGAAUAUUAUCAUCAAAUUUUGGGAAAAAUAUUGAAAUAUGAAGAGAAAAUCUGGUACUUGUGUAUUACAUGCCCUCAUUUUAAUAGUAAUUUUUUAAGCCAUGAAAAAUAAAAACGUGAACCACAAUUUGUAUUUUUAGGCUUAGGAAAUAACAUUUUCUAAGCCUAAAGAGGAAAAAUGUAUAUCACGUUUAUUUUAAUUGGAGAAAUUAAUGACAAUUUAAUUUAAUUUGAAAAUGAGGGCAUGUAAUACACAAGUACCGAAAAUCUUUUAGUGAAGAACUUGAAUUUAGCGCCAAAUUUUUAAAAAAUUAUUUCAAAUUUGAGUUUCGCGCCAUUUUUAAAUUUUGGCGGGAAAAUCAAAUUUUCUUUAGAUUUUCGCUGCGAGACCCUAAAAACCCUCAAAUUUUUGCAGGUUCGUGUCUGUAAUGUUCUCGUGCUCAUUCUUUCUUCAAUUGUCUUCAGUAUUUGGAUUCUCACCACUCUCGCCAGUGUUCACGUAGUCGAAAUUCCAUUUUUCGAGAAAUUGUUUUUGAAAUUUGGUGGUGGUGGCGGAGAUUGAGAACUUUUUCCAUGAAAAUUAGUGAUUUUUUGCAGAAUGAAAUUUUUCGCCUGAAUAUUCCUUAUAAUUUGAUUUUUUUUUUCAAUUUUUUUCAGAAAAGCCUGAAAAUUCACAUAUUUAUAUAAUUUUUUCACAGGACGUUCACAAUAUAUAGGCGGACAAAAAAAUAACAUCUUAAAUAUUCCAUGUGGCAGACGGAUUCUCAUCCAAAUACGCUUCAAUCACUGCAAUUAUAUCAUUUUUCGUCUUGCUCUUCAAUGAUUUCGACGCUUCACAGUGCUCCACGGCCAUGCUGAGCAGCUCGUCUUUUUUGAAUUUUCCAAUCUGAAAAUAUUGGAAAAAUUGAAAAAAACCAAAUUUUUUAUUUGAAUUUCCGGUUUUUAAAAAAAAUUUUUUUGCUGAUAAUUUAAAUUUCUAGAUAGCAAAUUAUAUAUAUAUUUUUUUGAAAAUUUUUUGCCCAUUUUUUUUGCCAAAAAAAGGACAGUCAUUAGAUGGCUGAAAAAUGAAAAUGGGCAAAAGUAAAAAGUUGCCUAAAUUUGUUGAAAACUUUUCAUGUAUGGAGAAUUCAAAAAAUCUAGGUUUAACCCAUCGAAAACUAUUAAAAAAGGGCAAAAUUGAGCAAUUUAUGGCAAAAAUGCACAAUUUUGAAACUGCUCUAAAAAGGUUAAUUUUGCAGUUAGAGGACUCAAAAUUGAUCUCCGAACACUAAAAAAUUGCCCUUUUUCAAUUUCUAGUGGUUUUGUACAAUUUCAAAAAAAAGUUUGCCCGUUUUUCGAGCUGAAAAUUUGGAAAUUUUGUACAUUUUUUCGGUUUUUGAGAAAAAAUAGUUUUAAAAAAUGUUAUUUUGAAAAUCAAUUUUUGCGGCGAAUUCAAAUUUCUAAUCUCUAAAAAAUGGCGCGAAAUUCAAAUUUUUAGAAAAACUUCGAAUUUCGCGCAAUUUUUUUAAAAGAAAUUGCCGCAAAUAUAGAAAAGAGUAGAAAUUUAUUUUCGAAUUGUUCAAGAACUGAAAUAUUUAAUACUUUCGGCAAAAAUGUCUGCAAUUUUCUGAAUUUUAAAUGUUGGAGGGAAAUUCAAAUGUUUAAUUUCCAAAAAAAACCGCGCGAAAUUCAAAUUUUUCAUAAUAUUUUGGCGCAAAAUUUUUUUUCAAAAUACAUCGAAUUUCACAUGAAUAGAAAAUCCGAUUACGAAUUAAAAAAUAUAUAAAUAUUUUUUCGUCAAUUUUUUCAAUUUUUUAAAAUUCAAAAUCGAAAUUUUAAAACAUUUUUUCUCUAAAAUUCUGGAAAUUUCUCGAUUUUUCGAUGAACAAAUUUUAGAUUUUUUUUUUCAAAAUAAAAAAUCUUUUUUUAAUCCUGGGAAACAUGUUCCGGAACUAUAGUUCAAUUUUAAAAAAUUUUGGUUUUCAUUGAAAAAUCCGCCAAAAAUUUCCUUCCUUUUUCCAUUCAUUUUCGUCUCAAAUUCAUCAAUUCUUCAAAUAUCUCCUCUACCUUAUCAGCAGCAAUACAAUCCCUAAUAGUCAUUGUUGCCUUCUUGCUCGUACUCGGCUCAUCAUCAUCAGUUUUUCGUUUUCUUCCGGCCGAAGCUUUUGGCUUUGUUUCUUUAAUUUCAUCGUUCAAUGCAAAUGUCUCGACAAUCUUUUCAAUUUCCGUACCAACACGUUGAAGACGCUUCGGAAUUUGGUAGUAGGGCUCUGUAAAAUUUAUAAUUUUUUUUUUGGAAAAAAAUCUAGUAGACCCUCUUAAUUUACAACAAUUGUUGAAAAUCUAAAAUUGGAAAAUUUACCGAAAUUUUUUUUUUAAUUUCAUUUUUCGAUUAUUUUCAAAAAAAUUGAUUUUCUAAAAUUAAAAAAAAAAUUUGUGGAUUUUUGAAUAAAAAUCGAUAAAUUCUUUAGGCUACACAAUUUUGUUAAAAAUUUUACAACAUUUUUUAAUUGCCACAAAUUUUCUCUAACGAAUUUUAAUUAGAGGUUGAAAUUUCAAUUUUAAACUGCAAAAAAAGUUUCAAAAAUGUACAGUUUUAAAUGAUUUUUCUUAUAAAUAUAAUGAUAUAUAGAUUUUUAAAGAGAAAUCAAAAACGUAAAUUUUUCGAUUUUUUGCUUUUUCAGCUCGAAAUACAAAAAUUGAAAUUUUGUGUUACUUUUCGAAACAUUAUUAAAUGCUUUUCCACUGCAACUUUUUCCUCACGAGGGACGAGGAAAAGUGGUUUCUAGGCCAUGGCCGAGGGGCCGACAAGUUUUAGCGGCCAUUUAUCUUGCUUUGUUUUCCGCCUGUUUUUUUUCGUUUUUCAUCGAUUUUUUCGUUUUUUCUUAAUAAAACUGAUAAAUAAUAAUUUUUUGCAGAUGCUAAAACAAUUUCCAAGUAAAAAAAUCAUGUAUUCAGUGGGCAAGCAGCGGUGAAAGUGGUCAAUGCAAUAUGAUGGAUUACGGGAAUACAAAACCUAAACUUUUUCUGAAACAUGAUACAUAUGCUGCUUAAAUGCUGAGACUACCUGAUUUUCAUAACAAGACCGCUGAAAAAGUUUUGAGGUUUCCAAAAUUCAACUUUUUUGGUGAAAAAGUCGAGAUUUUCGCACAAAAAGUUGAAUUUUGAAAUCCUCAAAACUUUUUCAGCGGUCUCGUUAUGAAAAUCAGGUAAUUUCAGCAUCUAAGCAGCAUAUGUAUCAUGUUUCAGAAAAAGUUUAGGUUUUGUAUUCCCGUAAUCCAUCAUAUUACAAUGCCCACUUUCACCGCUGCUUGCCAACUGAAUACAUAAUUUUUUCACUUGGAAAUUGUUUUAGCAUCUGCAAAAAGUAUUUAUUUAUCAGUUUUAAUAAGAGAAAACGGGAAAAAGCUGUGAAAAACAAAAGAAAACAGGCGGAAAACAAAGCAAGAUAAAUGGCCGCUGAAACUUGUCGGCCCCUCGGCCAUGGCCUAGAAACCACUUUUCCUCGUCCCUCGUGAGGAAAAAGUUGCAGUGUUUUCCGGAAAAUCGAAAAGUAUUUCUUUCAAUGGCACCCUUGGCGGUGGCCUAACUAGAAAUUUCUCGUCCACGUCUUCCGAUGACGUCCCCACUAACCCAAUGUAUCCCUCCUCUCAAUAAGCUCUUCGCCAGUAGCUUCCAAACAAAGAGCCGAUCGUUCAGAAAGUAAACGUGGAUUCUCAUAGAAACUUGGAUUAUAGGACAUCGUCAACCGUUUCACAAAUUGUUUCAUCGUAUUGACUUGCUCUUCAGUCGAUGGCUCCGUGAGCACAUUUUGUUGUUCUUCGAAACGUUUAAAAUCAUCACGAAGCUCCUCACGAAAUGGUUGACCGACGAGCAUAAAUCCCUCGUGAAGCCAUUCGGAUGAGUCUGCUUGAGCACGUUGUUGUUCGAGGCGGAGCUGCAAAAAAAAUUUGAGUUUAAAAAUUUUUUAAGCUUACAAAAAAUUUUUUUUUUUUGGGGUUUUCAAAUUUUUAUGAUUUUUUUUUGGGAUACAUUUUGGCGGGAAAUUUAAAUUUUCUGAGAAACAAUUUUUUAGUGGGAAAUUAAAAUUUUUUGGGAAAACUUUUGGCUGGAAAAUCAAUUUUUUCAGAAAAUUAAAAUUUUCUGAGAAAAAUCGUUGACAGGAAAUUCAAAUUGCUUGGGAAUAUUUUUGGUGGAAAAUUUUAAAUUGGGAAACAUUUUGUUAGAAAAUUUUUUUGACGAAAAUUCAAAUUUUUGAGAAAACUUUUUUUUUUUUUCAAAUUCAUGUUUUUUUCAUUAUGCGAAAGAAAUUUUCAACAAAAAAAAUUUAAAAAUUUUUGGCGGGAAAUUCAAAAAUUUCUAGAACUUUUUAUGGCCGGAAAUUCAAAUAUUUUGAGGAAAAAGGCAAAACCCUAAAAUUAUAUCAUACUAUUAUUAUUAUGAAUUAUCGAAAUCUUAGAAAAUUUCCAAUUUUUCAAAAAAUUACCAAAUCAGGUUUCUUAUCCUCCAUAUCAUCAUCAUCUUCACCAUUUUCAUGUCGUUUCUCAAUAAGUGUCAUAUCCUUUUUGAACGGUACCAACGCCAUAAGACGCAUUUUUUGUUUGGAUCUGCUCUGAUAUUUGCACACGAUCGCUUGUUGUCUGGCCCAGCAGCGGUCUGAAUAAAAUUAAUAGUCUGAAAAUUUGAAAUAUUUUUCAAAAUUUAUCCAAAUUUUCCAGACUUUUUUUUCCAAUUCGGCAAAAACAAAAUUUUUUUUUUAAUGAACCAAAUAAUUUUUGAAUCUGAUUUUUAAAAAUAAGAAUUUCUAUCAAAUGAAUUUUUUUCUAUAAUUUAUAAAGUUUGAAAUUAUAAAUUAUAGAAAAAAUUUAGAAACUCCAUGGAAAAUGGUCAAAAAAGUGUUUUUUUUUUGAAAAAUUGGGAAAAUCAUAAAAAAAUAUGGAAAAAAUCCAUAAAUUUUUACAGUUAUAGAGUAUUUUUGGCGGGAAAUUCAAAUUGUCUGAGAAACAUUUUUGGUGGGAAGUUAUAUUUUUUUGAGAAUUUUUUGUGGGAAAUUCAAAUUUUAUAAUAAACAUUUUUUGAAACAUUUUCGGGAGAAAAAAAAAGAUUUUAAGGUCAAAUUUCCCCAUUUUUGUACCUAAAAAUGUUCUAUAGAUAGCGGUACUGCCAAGUGUUGUCUGAUCAUUCGGCUGAAUAAUUUUCGACGAAACAACUGAAGUCUCUCGGUCCACACGGCUCAUUGAGCAGAAUCCAACAAAAUCGACACCUUUUGAAUUAACUUCAUUCAUAUAUUCAUAUUGAUCUCCAUCCAAAAUUAUCUUCUCUCCACCGAUUUCUAUCGAUUUUUUAAGAUCACGACGGUUGCGAAUCGAGUCUUCCAGAAAUUCUGCAAUAAAUGUAUAUUUUAGAAACAAAUUUUAGAAAAAAAAAAACACUAAAAUAUGAAUUCUAGUGUGUUUUUUUUUAAUUUUAAGAUAAAAAUUUUUAAGAAUGUGUACUAUUUUAAGUGGUUAAGGUAUUUUUAUAUAAAAUUUUGAAAUAUCUUUGAGAAACUAAAAUUUUGCAUCAAAUUUGAACCUGAAUAGCUCAUUUUUUGGCGAUUUUGAAUGAAUUCUUUGAGAAAUUGCAACAAAAAUUCAAAUUAAAAAAAAAAUAUUUUGGCGGAAAAUCAAAUUUUUUGAGAAUUUUUCUUAGUUUUUUAGCGGGAAAUUCAAAUAUUCUGAGAAAAAAAUUUCGGCUAAAAAUUCAAAUUUUCUCACCAUUUUUUUCCGAAUUUUCACAACAAAAAAAAUUUUCUGAAAAAAAAACUAUUUUUCAAUUUUUAAAAAUACUGCAAAAUUAAUUUUACCGGACAUUUUUUUUUCUAAAAAACUUUGAAAAAGGUUUUUUUUAGAAAGUAUAUAAUUUUUGGGGUUUGUUAUUUUAAAAAGAAAAAAUGAAUAAUUUUUUCAAAAAAUCGUUAAAAAAAAGAGCCAAUUUGCCGAAAUUCAUACUUUUCCAACAAACUAAACCCAAAUUUUCUCAAUUUUUAAGCAAUUAGGUCUCCAAAUAAGUUCCGGGUCAAAAAUCAUAACUUUGUUCGCUGCGAAUCGAUUUUUAUGAAACUGUGAGAAUUUAUAUUAUCAUCCAUGGUCUUUCAUUUGACAAUAGUCACAAAAUUUUUUGACCACCCCAAGUGGCCUAACUCGGAGCCAAUUUUUUCAGGCAUUUUUCUGAUCUCGCUUCUUUUCAGUUUUCAAUUGAGCUUUGUGUGCGGAUUUUGCUUUGUUUAGAAUACAUUAUUAGAAAACAACAAAAGUUUUAAAAAAAAAUCCACUCAAAAAAUUUUUUUUUGGUUGGUUGUCAAAAAAUGUUCAAAAAAUUUUUUGUCGAAAAUUCUAAAUUUUUCCUACAAAAAUGAUGUAACCAAGUGUAAACUAUUUUCAGACAUAUAAAUCAUUUGAGUUAAAAAUUUGAAUCUCAAGAAAUAUUCAAAAAACUAAAAAAUUAUCCGAAAAAAUUAUAUUCUCUAUCGAACUAAAUUGAUAUGUUUUGUUUGUGUAAAAAUAGUUUACACUUGGUUACAUCAUUUUUGUAGGAAAAAUCUAGAAUUUUCGACAAAAAUUUUUUUGAACAUUUUUUGACGACCAACCAAAAAAAAUUUUUUUGGGCGGAUUUUUUUCAAAACUUUUGUUGUUUUCUAAUAAUGUAUUCUAAACAAAGCAAAAUCCGCACACGAAGCUCAAUUGAAAACUGAAAAGAAGCGAGAUCAGAAAAAUGCCUGAAAAAAUUGGCUCCGAGUUAGGACACUUCGGAUGGUCAAAAAAUUUUGUGACUAUUGUCAAUUGAAAGAUCAUGGAUGAUUACUUAAAUUCCCAAAGUUUCAUAAAAAUCGAUACGCAGCGAACAAAGUUAUGAUUUUUGACCCGGAACUUAUUUGGAGACCUAAUAUAAUUUUUAAUUUUUCAGAAAAAUUAAAUACUAACUACAUCGAAUCAACAUCUUCUGAGUCUCAUCAAGAACACUAUCCUGAGUUUCAAUUUCUGUCGAUUCCAAUUCCAUUUUCGACUCUUUCUUCACGUAUCCCGACGUUUUUACAAUCUUUUCCUCAGUGUCUCGGGUGUAUUUUUGACUGUGGUCCAAUGGUUUCGCUUCCAUUACCAUUGAAAAUCUGGAAAAUGGGGUUGAUUAUUGUAAAAUACGUCCAAGGAAGGGGCGUGGUUUGAAAAAUGUUAGGCUCCACCCAUUUGUUGGGCUUUUUUUUUCAAAAUGGAGUAAAUUCUAAAAAAAAUUUUUCAUCGAAUUUUCCACGAUUUUCUUUUUAAAAAAUCGUACACAGAAACGUCAAAAGUGACACCGGGACCAACGUUAACCGUCAGCGUCGCGUGUGAUCGUUGAGCAGUGAUUUUUUGACGAAUACGGGCGGCCGCGUCGCAUUCCGUACUGAAGACUUCCGUGUCCAGGUCGUACUGAAAUAUUUGGAAAACUUUAAUUGAAAAAAAAAAACGUAAAGGCGCAGAAAUUUGUGGAUUUUUUUAAAUUUUUAAAUUUUUUUUUUUUGUUUUUUUUUUUUAAUUUUUUUUUUUUUAACCAGCCGUUCGCACGCGCUGAAGCGCGUGCUCCGACUGGCGUACUCAAAAUUAAAAUCAAAUUCUGAAAUUUCUAAGCAUUUCACUGCAGAUGGAACGUUUUUUUCCUUGUUUUCCGGAAGUUUUCGAGCAACAUAAAUAUUAUAAAUUUAAAAAAUAUAUAUAUUAUAAAACUAUAUAUUAUAAAAACUAUAAUAAAAAUAUAUAUUAUAAAACUAAUAUAUAUAUUAUAAAACAAAAAAUAUUAUAAAACUUAAUUUUAAGCAAUUACAAUUUUAAAACCUCAAGUUUCCUGGAACUUUUAUGAGACUUUUUCCGGUCCUUUCCGAAAGUUUUUGGCGAGCGUUUUUGGAAAUUAUCUAUAACAAUUUCUGGUUUUUUUUAAUUCUUAAAACUUCAGAAUAUUCUAGGAGUAUCAAAACUUGAAAGGUUCUAGAACUUCGCAGAAGUUUCUUGAAUUUUUUCAGGGAAUUGAACAUUCCAGACUUUGCUCGAAUUUUCUAGAAAAUUCUGGAACAUUCGAGAAUUUUCCCGAUUUUUCUAGAAAGUUCUGGAACAUUACAGACUUUUCUCGAAUUUUCUAGAAACUUCUGGAACAUUCCAGAAUUUUUUUUCAGAAAUUUUGAAUUCCCGCCAAAAUUUUUCACAGAAAUUUUGAAUUCCCGCCAAAAUUUUUCACAGAAAACUUGAAUUCCCGUUAUAAUUUUUCACAGAAAAUUUGUAUUCCCGCCAAAAUUUUUCACAGAAAAUUUGAAUUCCCGCCAAAAUUUUUCACAGAAAUUUUGAAUUCCCGCCAAAAUUUUUCACAGAAAUUUUGAAUUCCCGCCAAAAUUUUUCACAGAAAUUUUGAAUUCCCGCCAAAAUUUUUCACAGAAAUUUUGAAUUCCCGCCAAAAUUUUUCACAGAAAUUUUGAAUUCCCGUUAUAAUUUUUCACAGAAAACUUGAAUUCCCGUUAUAAUUUUUCACAGAAAAUUUGUAUUUCCCACCAAAAAGUUUUUCUCAGUAAAUUUGAAUUUCCCGCCAAAAAUUUUUAUCAGAAAAUUUGAAUUUCCCGCCAAAACUUAUGGGUCUCGCCAAGAUGGGUCUCACCACGAAGGGUCUCACCACGAAGGGUCUCACCACGAAUUUUCUCGAAUUUUCCAGAAGGUUCUGGAACAUUCCAGAAUUUUCUCGAAUUUUCCAGAAGGUUCUGGAACAUUCCAGCAUUUUCUCAAAUUUUCCAGAAGGUUCUGGAACAUUCCAGCAUUUUCUCAAAUUUUCCAGAAGGUUCUGGAACAUUCCAGCAUUUUCUCAAAUUUUCCAGAAGGUUCUGGAACAUUCCAGAAUUUUCUCGAAUUUUCCAGAAGGUUCUGGAGCAUUCCGGAAUUUUCUCAAAGUUUCCAAUAUCCGUUCAAUAGACGAAAAGUCAAUUUUUCCCAAACUACAGUAAUCCUACAGUACUCCUACAGUACCUCUACAGAACAACUACAGUACCCCAACCAUAUCCCGACACUAACCCCAAAGCAAUAUCUCUUCAAAAGACGAAAAGCCAAUUUUUUUCAAAAAUACAGUAAUCCUACAGUACUCCUACAGUACUACUACAGUACUACUACAGUACCCCGACCAUAUCCCACCACUAACCUCAAACCAAUAUCACUUCAAAAGACAAAAAGUCAAUUUUUCCAAAACUACAGUAAUCCUACAGUAACCCUACAGUACCCCUACAGUACUACUACAGUAUCCCGACCAUAUCCCACCACUAACCCCAACCCACAAUCCCUUCAACAGCCGGAAACACCUUGCAAGUGUGACGUCACAGACUACAAACUACAAUUGUAACAUCCCUCAUGUAUUUUUUUAUAUAUAAGUAAUGAUAAUUUUUUUUUAAUUUUAAUUUUAAACAAUUUAUUUUUGAAAAGUUCCAAAAAAAAAAAAAACUUUUUUUGCGUAAAAUUCUCUACAAUCUCAAAAAAAAAUUUGUUCAUCAAAAAUUUUCCGACACAAUUUUUUCCGAUUUACGAUUUUUUUGCCAUAAAAAUUAAUUUAAAAAAUUUAAAAAAUCUUUCACUAUUUUUUUUCUAGAAUUGUAUCACAUUUUUAGGAUGUAAAAAAAAAUUAAAUUGAACUUUAAAAAAAUUUUUCUCGAAAAAUUCGUUUUUAUCGAGAAAAAAAAGUGUUUUUUUUUUUGCGAAAUUCGAAUCAUUUUUUUAAAUUUUUUUAAAAAAGUAUCAAUUUUCAGAGGAAUCGUAAAAGCGAUAAUUAUUUAAAAAUUCGGAAAUCCGUUAAAUCUCCGUUUUUUUUUAAAUUUUUUCCCGGGGUUUCGGAUGAAAAAAAAACCUUUUUAAUUAAAACAAAAAAAUAUAUUUUAAAACCCUUUUUAUUCGAAAAACCGGGGAAAAAAUAAUUUUGGUUUAGUUUUAACAUCUGUUUUAUUCAAAAAUCGAUUUUUAAAAUUUAUUUUUGAAGACUUUUCCUCAAAAAAUUAAUUUUUUAAUAGAAAAAAGGAAAAAAAAAUAAACCAAAAAAUUAUGAUUUUCACGCUUUAAAAAAGCUAGAUUUUUCGAAAAGAAAACACUUUUUUUUUCGGAAAAAUUUAAAAAUUUAUCGAUUUAUUUUUCCUGCACAGUAGAGUACCCAUGGCUCCUUCCGUUUCUCGUCCUUAUCCUGUGGCUUAUAUCCAUCCUCUGGCAACAUAAUAACCGAAAAUUCACCGAGCGUCUUUCGAUGUCCCUCACCGAUAAUUUUGGUGACCGCGGCUUUGGUGCGUUUCUGAAGAAAAAAAAAUAAUUUUGCUUAAAAUUGAAAAUUUAGCGCUUAAAAUUUACUCGAAAAUCGUAAAAUUCACGAAAAAUUGAAUUUAUUUACAAAAUAUAGAAAUUAGUGUUUUAUUCAAAAAAAAAUUCCGAAAUCUUUUGAGCACUUUUUUUCAAUUUUUCCAACUGAAAUGCAAUCUUUCUUAGAUAUUAUAGGAGCCCAAAAUUCUGAGAAUGCGUACUGUGCAACAUAUUUGACGCGCAAAACAUAACUAUAUCUCGUAGCGAAAACUACAGUAAUUCUUUAAAUGACUACUGUAGUGAUUGUGUGUCGAUUUACGGAAAACAUUUAUUAAUCGAUAAUAACAUAUUAAACAAAAACACACAAGUGACAAAAAAACGAAAAUCUAAAGAAAAUUGUCAUUUUUGUGUUUUCUUUUAAUAUUUUAUCGAUUGAUAAAUGAUUUCCGUAAAUCGACACAAGCGAUACAGUAGUCACUUAAAGAAUUACUGUAGUUUUCGCUACGAGAUAUAGCUACAUUUUGCGCGUCAAAUCUGUUGCACAGUACGCAUUCUCAGAAUUUUGGGCUCCUAUAAUAUCUAAGAAAGAUUGCAUUUCAGUUGGAAAAAUUGGAAAAGUGCUCAAUAGUUUUCCGAAUUUUUUUUGACUACAACACUAAUUUAUAUAUUUUGUCAGUAAAUUUAAUUUUCCAUGGAUAUUAUGAUUUUUUAAAGUUUCUUUUUUUGUAUUUUUUAACGAUAUUUUAUGUGUUUUUUCCACGAAAACCCGCCAAAAAAUCCACUAACAAAAUGCGAAGAUUCCAAAAAAUCGUCACGUUCAAAUGGAUUCCGAUUGUUUGUCAAAUAAAUGACCGAUUGAUGACGUGUAUUCGAACAACUUGCAAACACUCGUUUACAGUAGUUAAGCACAUUUGACAAGUCGGAUUUGUGAUGAUCACCGCCGUAAUUGUUCACUGCCGAGAGGAGGUUUUCUGGAACAAAAAAUUAUUUAUUUUCUUUUCGGAAAACUUCUGAAAAUUGAAAUUUCACUUCAAAUCGGGACCGCCAACCAAUUAGCAAUGUUGGUCACGCCCACCUCGGAUCGCUUAUUGGUCGGAAAGCCUUCACUGAGAAUCGCAUAUGUCUAGUGACUUUGCAAAUAUAUCAAAUUUCCGGUAAAACCAAAAUAACGUCGGUUGCAUAAACUUGCCGAAAAUUUCGAAAUCUACUGCAGGCGUGGGCGGCAAACGAUUUCUUUCCGGCAAUUCGGCAACUUGCCGGAAUUAAAAACUUCCGGCAAACCGGCAAAUGGGCGGAAUUAAAAAUUCCGAUAAAUCGGCAAAUUUCCGGAAUUGAAAACUGCCGGCAAACCGGCAAAUUGCCGGAAUUGAACAUUUCCGGCAAAUUGCCGGAGUAGAAAAUUUCCGGCAAAUCGGCAAAUUGCCGGAACUGAAAGUUUCGGCAAACCGGCAAAUUGCCGAAAUGGAAUCUACAGCCAAAUCGGAAAAUUGUCGGAAUUGAAAACUUCCGGCAAAUCGGCAAAUUGGCGGAAUUGAAAAUUUUUGGCAAACCAGCGAAUUGCCGGAAUAGAAAAUUUCCGGCAAAUCGGAAAAUUUACGGAAAACCAGCAAAUUGCCAGAAUUAAAAACUUCCGGCAAACCGGCAAAUGGGCGGAAUUGAACAUUUCCGGCAAAUUGCCGGAGUAGAAAAUUUCCGGCAAAUCGGCAAAUUGGCGGAAAUGAAAAUUUCCGGCAUAUCGACAAAACCGGCAAAUUGCCGGAAUUGCAAAUUUCCGAUAAACCGGCAAAUCGCCGGAAUUGAAACUUUUCUAACUUUUUCAAACUUGAACAAAACUCAAAUAUCAAAUUUUUUUCCGUGAAAAUCCCAAAAUUCCACGUUGGAAAUUUCAAAAUUCCAACAGCAAAAAAAAAAAACGCCGCGGACAAAAUUCAAAAUUCAAUUUAUUCCUAAAUUUCGACUCGGUGGUGUGUGCGUGAGUUGUUCAACAAUGUUCAGUCGACUAAAGCAAAAAGUGAAAGAAAAGACGGGCAGAAGCAAGGCGACAGUGCUUCCCGCCGAAAUCGACGAGGCGUUGAUCUACUUCAAAUCUCUGAAGCCCCGCGUCCAGGAUCUCUACAAGCACAUGGCAAAUCUGAACGACGUGGCAAAUUGGCAAGUGAAAGCCAACUUUUCAGGCCCACUGGAGAACUAUGCUCUGCUCGGAGAUCGUAUCAACGUGCAACCGUUCAUCAAUUGUGUCGACACGCGGAUGGAGGCAGAAGUCGAGUCGAUGGAUAAGGUGCUGGCGAUUUGUGAGCGGUACAAGGCGUUCACACAGAACGAGAGUAAGCUUCACACAAAUACAAUUGCCAAUUUGAAUAAGACACGUCUCGAUAUGGAUAGUGCUGCGAACAAGUACGCCAGCAACGACACUGACGUCAAUCGGACUCGGUUUGAUGAUGCCACUCGUGAGUUUGAGGUGGCUUGUGAUCGGAUGCGUGAGUUGGCGAUAAGUAUUCAGACAAUUGAGGAGACUCAUUCCAUGUGGCAAGAUGAAUUGAUGCGGGAGAUAAAGGCCGGAAUGAGGAAACCGAAUUGAGGUGGUGGUGGUGGUGGUGAUGGAUGAGAAAUUGAAAAUUGAAGAGAUCUCACAAAAAAACCUUUUUUUUUUUUGAAAAUAAAUUAGGUUAUUAUGAAAUAUUGUUUUGCCAAUUUUCUAGGCGGCGUGGCCUACACGAUUUCAGGCCGCUCUUUAUGAAAAGCUAAGUUCUGGCGUCGAAAAUUGCCAAUUUCUUGAAAAAAAAAUACCGGAAAUUGUUUUGUCGAAAGCAGUGGUGGACGGCAAUUGCCGUUUGGCAAAUUCGGCAAAUUGUCGGAAAUGCCGGUUUGCCGGAAACUUUAAUUUCCGACAAUGUGCCGGUUUGCCGAAUUGUUGCCGGAAAUUUUUUAUUCCGGCAAGUUGCAGAUUUACCGGAAACUAAAUUCCGACAAUUUGCCGAUUUACCGAAUUACCGUAUAUUUUCAUUUAUGGGAACUUGCCGGUUUGCCGUUUUGACGAGAACUUUCAUUUCUGGCAAUUUGCCGGUUUGCCGAAUUGACGGAAAUUUUCAUUUCUGGCAACUUGCCGGUUUGCAGUUUUGCCGUAAAUUUUCAAUUCUGGCAAUUUGCCGGUUUGCCGUGACGGAAAUUUUCGUUUCCGGCAACUUGCCGGUUUGCCGAAUUGCCGCAAAUUUUAAUUUCUAGCAACUUGCCGAUUUGCCGGAAAAUUUCAUUUUCAGCAAUUUGCCGGAAAUUUUGAUUUCUAGCAAGUUGCCGGUUUGCCGAAUUGACGGAUAUUUUCAUUUCUGGCAACUUGCCGGAUUGCCGAGUUGACGGAAACUUUAAUUUCCGACAAUUUUCCGGUUUGCCGGAAAUUUUCAAUUCCGGCAUUUUGCCGAUUUGCCGGAAACUUUAAUUUCCAACAAUUUGCCGGUUUGCCGAAUUGCCGGAAAAUUUAAUUUCCAGCAAGUUGCCGAAUUGCCAAAAAUGAAAGUUUCCGGCAACUUGCCGGUUUGCCGGAAACUUUCAAUUCCGGCAAUUUGGCAAUUUGCCGUAAAUUUUCAAUCAAUUCUGGCAAUUUGCCAGAAACUUUUAAUUCUGGCAAUUUGCCAGAAAUUGUCAUGUCCGGCAAUUUGGCAAUUUGCCAGAAAUUUUCAAUUCCGACAAUUUGUCUAUUUGCCGGAAAAAAAUCGUUCGAAUUUUCAAAAAAGUGGUGAUCUACCGAAAUUCUGCCAAAAGUCAAAAGAACAAUCAAUUUUUUGCCAAAAAAUUGCCAGAUUGCGUAUAAUAUUCUGAAAUUGUAGAUUUUACUCGAAAUUUAACUGGAAAUUGCCAAUUUGUCGAGAUUUUGAAAAAUUAGAAGUUUGCCUAAUUCACUGCGAAAAUUGUGCCAAGUCGCCAAAAGACGACGAAUGCCGAGAAAAAAAACCACGAAAAUGUCAGAAAUUGUCCGCGAUUUCCGCACCUUCCUCCGCAAUUUCCUUAAUCUUAUUCACUUCUUCCUGUCCAAGAACACCCAUCGGCACAAGCAGAGUGCUAUUUUCGAGUCCCUCGGUCUCCGAGUUUUUCUGUAAUUAAAAAAUUAUUAAAUUUUCAGAAAUUCUUCAGAAAAAACUCGUACAGUACUAGUGACAAUCACUCCGAUAUGAUUGUUAAGGCUCCGCGAGCAGCAAACACGGACUAUUUCGUCGAGAAUGAGCUUCAGAGCAAGCUUGAACUCUGGCGGCUCACCGGCUUUCGACGUUUCGAACAUUGCCGGAUUUCCGUCAAUUAUGAAGAAUGUGUACUUUUUAUUGGCCGUUGAACCCUCGAAAUCGUCAUCCUCGAAGCGGGUUUCGUCCAUCUGGAAAAAAAUUGAUUUUUUUCAAACUUUUCUCGAAAAAAAAUUCAAAUUUUGACUGAAAAAAUCGAAAAAUUAAUUUUUUUUGAAUUUAAAAAUAUUUAUUAAAAUAUUUUUGUUCUCAAAAACUUUGAAAUUUGACAUUUUUCAAGUUUUGAAAAUUUCGAAAGUUUUUUUUUUCAAAUUUUUCGAGAAAAAAAUAUCAUAUUUUGUCGAUUUACGGAGCUCGUGACUGAAAAAUUAAAAAAAAAAAACUUCUCCUCGAGGAGUACACCAGCUGCGUAAAUAGACACACGGUUUUUAUGCAUGUGUCGAUUUACGACGGAUUUUGAACUACACGUGGACAAGUUUGAGUUCAAUUUUUUUGCAAAAUCUCGACUUUUUUUUUGGCUAAAAUUUCAGUUUCCGAAACAUUAUCCCUCGUAAAUCGACAACCCCUGUGUCGAUUUACGCAGCAGCCUUCGUGUACUCCUCGAGGAGAAGUGUUAUUUUUUGCUCAAAAAUUUUAAUUUUACAAUAAAAUAAAUUACUUUGCAUAGAAAAUUUGAAAAUAGCGAAAAUGUUCAAAUUCUCCCCGUAAGUCGACACAAAUACUAUAAUAAAUUGAAAUAAUUUUUUCAGAGAUGGAAAAACUCCAAAAAUUCAGUGAAAAAAGGGAGAAUUAACACAGGAUUCGAUUGUUUAUCAGAUAUGAUUUGAGUAUUUUCGGGAAUAUUUUUUUGGGGAAAAAUAAAGAAUUUUUCACUGAAAAUUAGGAGAAAAUGGAAAAAUGGAGGAGGAGGAAAUGACUUGUGAAAAAAAUUAGGAAAUUAGAAAUUUCGACAUAAAAAAGACGGGAAAAUCGCAAAACUGGGGGGAAAUUUUCAAAAAAAAAAGAAAAUAAAUUCAUUGAAUUUUCAUCAUUGGCGCAAAAAUAUAUGAAAGAUCCACUCGAUUAUAGGCAUUUUUCUCCAAAUAUUUCUCAUUGAUUCGAUCAGCCAACAUCAUUGAAUCGAUUUUGCACCCAUUAUAUUCGACACGGACUUUGGCGGCUUCUGGAAAAAAAAAACUUUUUUGAAGAAAAAAUUGUACAAAAUUUCCUGGAAAUCGAACUUUUAAUGCUAAUUUUUAGUGAAAAAUUGUAAUUUUCAACGAAAAAAAAAACUCAGAAAUCGGAGAAAAAAUUUACUGAAAAAAAAUUACGGAUUUAAAAUUAUUUGAGCCAAGCUUUUCAAAGAAUACGGUACCGGGUCUCGAUACGACAAAUUGUUGUUGAAUGCGAAAAAGUGUGCGCCUUUAAAGAGUACUGUAGUUUCAAACGGAUUUUUUUAAUCGAUUUUGCGCAUAGAAUUUCACACGAUUUGUUAAAACUUAAGCGGUUUAUUUCAGUUUUUUUGUUUAACGAAAAACUGAAAAAAAUGGAUGAAAAUUUCUCAAAUUUCAUCCAAUUUUUUUCAGUUUUUCGUUAAAAAAUAUGCUUUUUAUUAGAAAAACUGAAAUAAACCGCUUAAAUUUUAACAAAUCGUGUGAAAAUCUAUGCGCAAAAUCGAUAAAAAAUUCCGUUUGAAACUACAGUACUCUUUAAAGGCGCACACCUUUUCGCAUUCAACAACAAUUUGUCGUGUCGAGACCCGGGCGCAAAAAUCGUGAAAUUUCGGGAUUGAGUAAUAAAAUUAUAAAAGCCGAAUAAUUUUAUCUCCGUAAUUUUUUUUUUGAAAAAAAAAAAUGCUGAAUAGCUGCUGAAAUAGAAAAUAAAAUUUUUUAAGUAAACUUUUUCUCCGAACUCUGCGUUUUUUUUUUUGAAAUUACAAUUAUUCACCAAAAGUUUACAUUAAAAGUCCGAUUUCCAAAAAAAAAAUUGAAAGAAAAUCACAUUUUUUAAAUCGAAUUUUGAAUGAUUUUAACGCAAAAAUAGUUAAAAAUGUUCUCCUAAUUCGGUUUGUUUCCAUUAUUUUCGAGAUUUUCCGCUAAUUCUCACGAUUCUUGGCUGAAUUUCGCCGAAAUUUCCCAUUUUCUAGGGAUUUUUCCCAUUUUUUUCCAAUAAAAUUUCGCAAACACGAACUUUUCUGGGCGUCGCUCAACUUUCGUACAGCCGCGUCGACAUCGAGAAUUGUUCGAAAGAACAUUUGCUGAUCGAAAAGCUGUUUUGAAGUGUAUUCACGACGGAGCACACCAGUUGAGCAUCGAAUACAUUCGAGUCCUUCUCGACACCAUUUCAUCGUUUGUACGCGAGUUUUGAAUUCACACGUUGGCUCAUCGCAUCUGCAACAAAAAUUACGAUUUUUUGAAAAAAUUCGGAAUUUUUUUUUAAAUUUUGCCUCUAAAAAAAAGAAAUUUUAUGGGGAUUUGAAAAAAAAAAUUGUUUAAUAUUUUUCAGUGUGCGGUUUUUUGUGUUUCGAUUUUCAAAAAAUUCGGAAAUUUUUGCCAUUUUUCCUAUUUUUACAAGAAUAUUAAGUGUGCGCCAAUAGCCGUUGGGCAAAUUGCCGGAAAUCUUUAAUUCCGACAAUUUGCCGAUUUGCAGGGAACUUUCCAAUUCCGGCAAUUUGCUGGUUUGCCGGAAAUUUAUAAUUCCGGCAAUUUGACAACUUGCCGAAAAUUUUCAAUUCCGGCAAUUUUCCAAUUUGCCAGAAAUUUUGAACUCCGUCAAUUGGCCAAUUUGCCGGAAAUCUUUAAUUCCGGCAAUUUGCCGAUUUGCAAGGAACUUUCGAGUUCCGGCAAAUUGGCAAAUUCUCGGAAUUGAAAAUUUGCCAAUUUGCCAGAAAUGUAUAAUUCCGGCAAUUCGCCGAUUUUCCGGAAAUUUCAAUGUUGGCAAUUAGUCUUCAAUUCUCCUGAUUUUAAGCAGGUUUUUUUUCCAAAUUUUCAGAAAAUCGGCAAAUUUCCAUCAAAAAUCGUACUUAAACGCUGCGAGAUGAUGUCUGGCGACGAAUUCCGACAUUUGUCGGUCAACUUGAUUCCCAAUCACUGCUUGAUGCUCCUGAAGAUCCCAUGAUCCUUGACAUUGAGCACAUCCGGAGAAUAGAAGGCGGGGAGACGAGGCAUCAGUCUGAAAUUAAACGAAAAAGUUGAGAAUUAUUUUUACCAACAACCACUGAACCACCGAAGACGAGGGUUUUUCUGCAGUAAAAAGUUGUUGCCACAUUUUUGGACUUCUCAAUUACUUGAUUUCACCGUUAACCAUAUGAAAUAUGGGCUAAUCCAUUGGAUUUAAUGCACUUUUUUCAGAUGCAAAUUUCACCCCCUAACACUGCAACUUUUUCCUCACGAGGGACGAGGAAAAGUGGUUUCUAGGCCAUGGCCGAGGGGCCGACAAGUUUCAGCGGCCAUUUAUCUUGCUUUGUUUUCCGCCUGUUUUCUUUCGUUUAUCAUCGCUUUUUUUUUCGUUUUUUCUUAAUAAAACUGAUAAAUAAAUAUUUUUUGCAGAGGCUAAAACAAUUUCCAAGUAAAAAAUCAUCUAUUCAGUGGGCAAGCAGCGGUGAAAGUGGUCAAUGCAAUAUGAUGGAUUACGGGAAUACAAAACCUAAACUUUUUCUGAAACAUGAUACAUAUGCUGCUUAAAUGCUGAGACUACCUGAUUUUCAUAACGAGAUCGCUGAAAAAGUUUUGAGGUUUCCAAAAUUCAACUUUUUUGGUGAAAAAGUCGAGAUUUUCGCACAAAAAGUUGAAUUUUGAAAACCUCAAAACUUUUUCAGCAGUCUCGUUAUGAAAAUCAGGUAGUCUCAGCAUCUAAGCAGCAUAUGUAUCAUGUUUCAGAAAAAGUUUAGGUUUUGUAUUCCCGUAAUCCAUCAUAUUGCAUUGACCACUUUCACCGCUGCUUGCCCACUGAAUACAUAAUUUUUUUACUUGGAAAUUGUUUUAGCAUCUGCAAAAAGUAUUUAUUUAUCAGUUUUAAUAAGAAAAAACGAAAAAAAUCGAUGAAAAACGAAAGAAAACAGGCGGAAAACAAAGCAAGAUAAAUGGCCGCUGAAACUUGUCGGCCCCUCGGCCAUGGCCUAGAAACCACUUUUCCUCGUCCCUCGUGAGGAAAAAGUUGCAGUGCCUAAAAGUGAAAACGGGCAGAAAUUUAUUUUAGAAUCGGGUAGAGAAAUAUUUUAGCUAUUGGAUUCUAUUUUUUUCAUAUUUUUCAUGCAUCUUGUGGACUGGCCAUUCCCUAGUUAGAAAACCACGGUUAUCUCAAGGGAGUAGGAGACUUGGGCAUACUUUAUAGAAACAGUUCGGAAAAACGGAAAUUUUCGCCAAAUUGUGGUUUUGCACAUUUUUUUCAUUAGAAAAAUCAGAAUUCCAAUCCUAAUCGCCAAAAUUGUAUGCAUCCUAUGAAUAUUCCUCCUACAUCUAUUUUGAAAAUUGAGAAAAUUCUAUGAACAUAUCUAAAGAAAACGGGAAAAAACAUUUCAAAAAUACACCGUUUAAGGGUUUCCGUUUAAAAAAAAAAUCCCUCUAAAAACUUCCGGCUAAUCGGUAAAUUGGCAAAAAUGAAAAUUUCCGGCAAACCGGCAAUUGCCUCCCACCCCUGAUACGGGCAUACUUUAUAGAAACAGUAUUCGUAUCAGGGGUGGGAGGCAAUUGCCGGUUUGCCGGAAAUUUUCAUUUUUGCCAAUUUACCGAUUAGCCGGAAGUUUUUAGAGGGAUUUUUUUUUUAAACGGAAACCCUUAAACGGUGUAUUUUUGAAAUGUUUUUUCCCGUUUUCUUUAGAUAUGUUCAUAGAAUUUUCUCAAUUUUCAAAAUAGAUGUAGGAGGAAUAUUCAUAGGAUGCAUACAAUUUUGCCGAUUAAAAUUGAAAUUCUGAAAAUUCCAAAAAAAUAAAUUUUUUUUUUAAAUGUGCAAAACCGUAAUUUGCCGAAAUUGUUCGGCAAAUUUGGCAAAUCGGCAAAUUGCUGGUUUGCAGAUUUGCCGGAAAAAAUCGUUCGCAAAUUUUGUAUGUGUUGCUGAGAAAAAAACUAUAAGAAAAAUACCAUUUUCUUCUAAAAAGUGUAAUUUUUCGAAAAAAAUGAAAAAUUUAAUUUUGAAAAAAAUCGAAAAUAUCCAAUCCUAGCUUUUCCAAGGAUUUUUAAAAGAAAAUCUCCAAAUUUUCAAUAAAAUUGAGGAAAAAAAAGUUUCUUCUCGGAAAGAACCCCAAAAUUUCGCCAUAUUUUAGUUGCGAAAUUGCCAUGCCAACAAUGUCCAGUUCCUCUGCGUCUCUUCUCUCUUACCACACAAUCAAAUGUCUCUCGAAUCACAUUUGAAUGACCGCACCCAUCGAGUGGACAAAUCACAUGAAUUCCUUCGCACAAAUCAUAAUUCUGAAAUUAAUUUUUUGAAAUUUCAAUUUCUGGCGCUGCUCCGAGCGAGCCCACCUCUUGGUGCCACGCGCAAUCUUCUUCUGCUGCUCGCUGUGAAGCUUGAGCCGCCGCAGCUCGUCGAUAAUUGGUCGAAUCCAGACCGAGAUUUUCGGCAAUUCGGACUGCGUCGGUUUCCUCGAUGGGCUCGACGAGCCGCGAUACGACUGGAUGAAUUUGUUGAGCCAGAUAGUAGAGGAGAUCUGCAAAAAAAUUGAGUUUUCAGGCGAAAUUUUGGGAAUUUUGAGACCUAAUUUCUUAAAAAAUGAAUAAAAAUAAAAUUUUUGUGGGUUUUCAGGGUUUUUACAAUUUUUUAAUGUUAGUUGCCAAAAGUUACCAAAAUAUAGGAAAAUUCUUGCAUUUUUGAGGGAAAAUUACCAAUUUUCAGCUCAAAUUCCAUCAGUUUUGUAUAAAAAAUGCAAAAAUUUGAAAAAGUUUGCCCCAAAAGUACGAUAUUUUGAGCUGAAAAAUGCGAAAAACUGCAUAGUUUUUGCCCAAUACCCAUCAAUUUUGGGCUGAAAUUACCCGAUUUUGCAUUUUUUUAAAAGUACAAAAUCGAUGAAUUUUGAGCUGAAAAUUGGGAUUUUAGCACAAAAAAAAAACGAAAAAUGUUCUCUAAAUUUCAUGAUUUUUGUCCUUUGACCAAAACCUAUUGCUUUUGAGCUAAAAUUGUAUAUUAUUCAGUCGCGAAAUUUUUCGCCAAAAGUACACUACCGGGUCUCGACACGACAAUUUCCUGUUAAACGUAAAAAUGUGCGCGCCUUUGAAAAGAGUACUGUAAUUUCAAAUUUUUGAUUCUGCGGAAUUUUCAGUAAUUUUUUACCAGGUUUUCUAUUCAAAAUUGGUAUUUUCAUCGUAGCACUAUUAAAAAAUCACUGCAAAUUCCGCAGAAUCAAAAAAAUGAAAUUACAGUACUUUUUUCAAAGGCGCGCACAUUUUUACGUUUAACAGGAAAUUGUCGUGUCGAGACCCGGUAGUGUACUUUUGGCGAAAAAUUUCGCGACUGAAUAAUAUACAAUUUUAGCUCAAAAGCAAUAGGUUUUGGUCAAAGGACAAAAAUCAUGAAAUUUAGAGAACAUUUUUUGUUUUUUUGUGCCAAAAUCCCAAUUUUUAGCUCAAAAUUCAUCGAUCUUAUACUAAAAAAAAAUGCAAAAUUGAGUAAUUUCAGCCCAAAAUUGAUGGGUAUUGGGCAAAAACUAUGCAAUUUUUCGCAUUUUACAGUGGUAAAAAUCCAAAUUUUCAGCAUUCCGUACCAAUUUUAAGUGCCGAAUUCUCAGCCAUUUCAGUCCGAUGAUAGGCUCGUUGUGUUGCCGGAUUAUCAGUUCCAUCUUCACAAAUGACAUAUUCCACAAUAUCAUUAUGCCUCAAAUUGAAUUUUCCACUUUUAUUAAGCCGCUGAGCAACUGCCGCAUGGCAUUGAGCCUUCACAUCGGCAUAUUGUUCAGGAUUUCGAGUUAGCUGCUUGCUAAUUUGGAACAUUUCCAGUGGAACCGUGCCAGAAUCCAGUUUUGCACGAAUUUCACGCAGUAGAUCAUCGAUCGAUGAGACCAUCUCGUCGCGGGUCAGUGAAGCGUCAAGGAUCUUGUCGACGACGGCUCUACAAAAUUAUGAAAAAUUAAUUUUUUGAAUUUUCUAAACGUUUUUCAUAUUUUUAACUGUAAAAAAUGCACAAUUUGGAGAAUUUUCUCGAGAAAAAAAUGUCUAAAAAUCAAAAAAUUCUUCGAAUUUGAUGAAAUUUGCUGAAUUUUAUCGAAUUUUAUUAAUAGAAUUGUUAAAAAUUUUAUAAAUUUAAGCAUUUUCUCGAGAAAAUUUAAUUUCUGGAGCAGGUAAAUUGGGGAAAAAUGGCUGAAAUUUGCUGAAUUUUAUCGAAUUUUUCAGGGAUUUUUUUUCAAAUUUUAAAUUUUCAGGAAUUUAAUUUUUAAUUUUUGAACUAGAAAUUCGAAAACCAAUCACUUUUUUACAGAGAAAAUUACAAAAUUCUGUCUAUAAAAUUUUUUUAAUUUUAGUUCACCUGGAAUUCGAAUUUUUGUGCAAAAUUGAUAUUAAAAACGCGAAAAACUCAUUAAUUUUAACAAAAAUUGGUUAUUUUUGAAAUUUUUUCAAAAAAACAUAUGAAUUUCGCAAAUUUUCAGCUCUUUUCCCUCAAUUAAAAAAAAAUAGAAAAAUUUUUAAAAAAUUCAAAUUUUCUAAAUUGUUUAAAAAUAAAUUUUACAUCCUUUUCUCAUCAAAAUCAACAUAUUUUUUGAUAAAUAUAUAGUUUUUUUUGGAAAUUUUGGAAUUUUUAAGGGAAAACCGAAAAUUUCCGUUUUUUUCUAUUGAAAAAUUUAAAAUUUGGAAAUUUUCUCGAUUUUUUUUUUUUUUUUCCGUAAAUUUAUCUUCAAAAUAUGGCAAAAUUAGCAAAAAAAAUCCAAAUUUUCUCAAUUUUUAAAAAAUAAAUUUUUAAUUUUUUUCUCAUCAAAAUCACGGUAUUUUUUGAUAAAUAUAUAGUUUUUUUUGGAAAUUUUUAUUCAAUUGUUUCCAAUUAUUCGGAAUUUUUAAGAGAAAACCGAAAAUUUCCGUUUUUUUCUAUUGAAAAAUUUAAAAUUUGGAAAUUUUCUUUAUUAAAAAAUUUUUUUUUUGAUAUUUAGUGGAUUUCAGAGAAAAUUAAAAAAUUGAAAUUUCCGAUGAUUUCUCUAUUUUGCAUACUUUUUUCUCUUUAUUUCCGAUUUUUUUCCGAAAAACACGGCAAAAUCAGCCAAAAUCAUCAAAUUUCCAUUUUUUUUCUAUUGAAAAAUUUAAAAUUUUCUUUUUUUUUUUGAAUAUUUGAUGUAUUUCAGAGAAAAUCGAAAAUUUUCGAUUUUUUUAAAAUUUGAUACUGGAGAUAAAAUUUUCAUCAUUUUUCGAUCAAAAUCUACACUUUUUCCGAUUUUAUCUCCUGAAAAACACCAAAAAUCAUCAAAUUUUCGUAAUUUUUUUUUCCAGAGCACACGCACGUUCCAGUCUCCUUAGCCAACUGUGACCAAUCUCUUCUAACAAUAUCCAAUCCUUUCAAUUCUUUCGCCUCAACCUUCGUAUCCGGAUUAAUCGUCAACGCGGCGUACUUCUUCUUUUUCAAGAGCAACAUUCGCUUAAAAACUCCAUCAAGAUCAAGCUCCAAGAGCCGAUGACACUUGUUAACAGCCUUUUUAAUCUCAUUUCCAAGCUUCUUUGCCGCCACCAAAUCCACUGAAUUCGUAUUAAUCAUAAUUGAAUCCGUAUCUCCAUAGACUACAGAAUAACCCAUUUUCUCUACAAGAUCCUUUGAAUGCAUCAGAAUUUCUCGUCCUUUUGCAGUUACCAGUGCCGCUAGAGGCUUCGCGUAAAACCUUGAAUACUGAAAUCCAAGACAUCCGUACAUUGAGUUGGCAGUGAGUUUUAAAGCCAUUUGACGAAUAUCCAUUUGCUUCUUUUUUGCCUCAUUUCGUUCGCUUUUCAUAAGAGAUUUCACGUCUCGACGGCAUUCUACAAGCUUUCGAAUUUCACGUGGUAGAACUCCUUCGAUAUCUGUGCUCUGUGGUACUGAGAGCUGCUCGUCGCUGUCCUGGAAAUUAAUUUUUUUUGGCAAAAAUGAAUUUUUUGUUUUUUUUUUGUUUUUAAAAAUGUGAAGAAAAUCGGUUUUUUUUCCCGUUUUUUUUUGAGAAAUUCGACUUUUUGUUGUUCAUUUUUCCUCAAAUUUUUUUCCGAACAAUUCAAAAAUGUCCAGUUUUUUUUCAAAUUUUUCCGGUAAAUCGAGAAAAAAUUGUUCAGUAUUUUUCCGAAAAAAUGAUAUUUUUAGGGAAAAUUCAAAAUUUUCUAUUUAUUGAACAUUUUUCCGGGAAAUUGAAAAAAAAUUCAAUCUUUUACAGGGAAAACCGAAAAAUUCUCAUUUUUUCAAAAAUUUUCAGAAAAAAUCGGAAAAAGUACUUUUUUUCUAAAACUCUUCCGGAAAAUCGAAAAUUUCGGUUUUUUUAAAAUGUAUUUCCGGAAAAUCGAAAAAUUUUCUAUUUUUCUAAAUUUUGCUGAAAAAAUCGAAAAAAAAAUCCAGUUUUUUUUCAGAAUUUUUCAGGGAAAAUCGAAAUUUUUUCCAGAAAUUUUUUAUUUUUUCAAAUUCUUUUCGGGGAAAAUCGAAAUUUUUCCGGAAAAUUGAGAAAAAAUUGAUAUUAUUCAGGGAAAAUUGAAAAUUUUCCUUUUUUUUUGUUGGAAAAAAAUAGUUUUAAAAAAUGGCAUUUUUCAGGAAAAAUUGAAAUUGUGUAAUUUUUUCAGUUUUUUUUUUCCGAAAAAUGACAUUUUUCAUGGAAAAUCGAAAUUUUUCCUUUUUUUUUUUUUGGAAAAAUCGCCAAAAAAUUUUCGAUAUUUGCGGGGAAAAUUGAAAUUUUUCCAAAAAAUCUUUCAAAAAGCGAAAAUGAUGCUACCUUCGAGUACUCCAACGUCGUAUAACAAAUAUUAUACUCUUGAAUAAUGCUUGGAUACAAUGAAUUAAAAUCGAGCAGCAAGAUCAAUGUCUCAUAGAGUCCCUUCUUCGGCUCCAACACCAGACCACCCGAAUAUUGUGCUUUUCCACUCUUCUUCUCGUCUCCUUCUUGGCUCUCCUCCUUCUUUUUCUUGCUCUCCGAGCUAUUAUACUUAUCCGGUGCGAUGAGAUCCGCUUUUUCGAACGCGUGAAGCAACAGAUACUCAUUCCUCUCGGCACGUCCUCCCAUCAUCGUUCUCGAAGCGAUUCCACCGACAAUCUGCGAGAUUUGAAUGUAGAGUGGCAGAGCGUUAAGCCGAACAACGAUCCGAAGUGAUAGUAGAAGAUCGUUCCAAGACCAAUUGAUCAGACUGAUCAGAUCUUUGGAAUCCACGUACAACUGCGGAAUCUCAUUGGCGUAAAUCUCACGGCGCUCGGCUCCAAGGAUCUGUUGAGAGAGCUCUGUGAGAUCAAAGCUUCGAGAUUUAACAAGUUCCAUCGCGGCAAGCUUCGAGUCCAACAUCAUUCUCCCCGCUGUGAGCUCCCAUUGGCCUGAUUUUGAAUGUCCGAUUUUUCCAAUAUUAAUUGACCGUUUUAAACGAGAAAUUCUAGACCAAUUCGGCAGCUUGAGCUUUUCAAGUCUUGAAACCAACAAGGCAAUUGUCGCCGACAAGUCGUGUCCCACAAUCAUAUCAGGUUCAUCUUCAUUGAUCAUCGCCAGGAACAGGGUGAGCAGUGCCUUCUCAUUAGCAACACUUUUCACGAAUUUCGAGAGUUUCUCAGUUUCCAAGCGCUUUUGGAUGUCAUAGGGGAGAGAUCCACCGGGAGGCUUUGUGACGAGGCAUUUCGGCUUCAAAUCCUUACUAUCACCACUCGGAUGAGCCAAGUCGCAUUUCGGAUUGAAAAGCAUCGAAAUCAUGCAAAUCUCAUUGUCCUUCCGAUCGUUGAGCGUUGUGACAACGUUCAGGGCGAGAAGCUUGAUCGUCGGCGGUGGUGCGUCAGAGGAUUCCAGAUACUUGAUAUUCCGCAUCUUCUCCAUAUCAACCUCAAACUCAUACUUGCAAUUCGAGGUCUUCGCUUUGGGAUCCGAAUAGUUAUACAGCUCAAUCCAUCCAGGACCCAUAAAUUUCUUUUCAAUAAGCAACCGUUCCAACGGAGUGACUGAUGUGUUGAAGGUGUUGGAGAAUGUGUCACCCUUAAGAUCACUGGGAAGCUUCCCCUUCUCCGCCGGAUAGAGCACUUCCAUCAACGGGCUCUUCGUGCCGCAUCCGUAGCCGAAGCUCUCGUCACGGAUCAGCUCCUUCUCCACCAUCUUACACUUGAACUCGUGUGUGUUGAACUUGUUCCGCAGAACAUCUCCGAUCUCCUUGUGAAGCUCGGCAAGGCUCGACUCCUCUCCGGUGCUGAGAUUCUUGGUGCGAGGCAUAAAGUAGACCUUCCUGCAGAUGUUCUUCACAACGAUUGAGCAGGUCUCCCAGGCGUUACCGCUGGUUUUGACCUUUCCGAAGAGAUAGACGGUGCCGUUGGCCUUGUGAACAUCCUCGUAGGCAUCGAUCCAGUACAUACGGAUCGCUUUGGUGGUGUUGUCCUCGCCGCCCAUCGUGUAGAAGGCUUCGGAUCCGGUUUUCACCUCGACCUUCACAUCUUCGUCCUCCUGACUGCUGCUCCCGCCUGUCCAGUCUUCAAUGACACGGAACUUCGCCAGACUAUCCUCGACUUCUUCCAGAUGCUCGGUCUCCAUUUUCACUGUUUCUUCGAUUUUCUGGAUCGCUGGAGCUGUUGGAGCUUCGACUUCUGCCAUUUUCUCCGUUUUCACUGGAGAAGUCACCGGAGAAGCCACUGGAUAAUCAUCUGGAAUCCCAUAAUCCUCAUCCUCAUCAACCUUCACAUGCCGCUGGAAUUUGUGCUCGGCGAGCCCGGUCGCCUCUCUCUUGGCCUUCUUAGCAAUCGGCCGUGGAGCCAGUGAAUCCGAGCCGCUCGGUGAGUCGAAUUUUCGUCCCCGCUUGAACGGAUUCGCUGGGGUCGCCUUCGGCUUCUCCUCGGCCUCCUCAUCGCUGCUUCCCAGCUGCUCCAGCAUAUUUUUCACCUCCUCAUCGUCGUCAAACUCGGCUUUCACCACAGACUCGUCGAUCGGCUUCUUGGUGGAGGUUGUGGAGAGGAAUGCAUGAAGUCCUCCCUUUUUCUUGUCUUUUUUCGGCUUUUUCUCGCCUUUUUUCGAGGAAUUUGAAUUUUUCGAAGAACUGGGCGCAUAAUCGUCUUCGUAGUCAUCUUCAAAGUCUACACCGUUGUCUACGUAGCCCAUUCCAUCUGAAAAAUUUAUAUUUUGAAAAAUGUUAACAAUUUAAAUCAGAAAAAUACCAUCAUCGACAAUAAAAUUGUCCUUUUGUCGUUUUGCAACGAUUUUCUCGUACUCAUCAUCAUCAACCGUGUCGUAGACGUCCUCCACGUCGAGCUAAAUGAAAAAAAUCGUUUUAUAACAAAAAUCUGCUAUAAAACUACCUCUGGGCGAUAGGCUUUUCCUGUUGAUCGCGCCAAUUUCAGCUGCUCAAUUGCAGACAGCUCCUUCGACUUCUUUUGACUGACUCCACAGCGGCGAGACGAGCGUCUAACAUCCGAUUCUGCAUGGUUUUCCGAGUCGGACAUCUGAAAAACGAAGAAAAAUUACAAAAAAAUCGCAAAAAACAUAGCAAAAUUAAGCGAGAAAGUGAGAAAAUGCGGUAAAACGUUCAAAAAAUUGUUUGAAAAUUUGCUUCGCGCGCUGCCUUUCCUUGCAGUAGAGCGCGCUUGCAAUUUCAUGAGACCUCGCUGUUUUCGGGAUGAUGAGUGUGGUAGAAGUGAAUUUUCGCAAAAAGUUAAUGUUUUCUAGUUGACGUAAUUAAAAAAAUAAAUGAUUAUUUUAAAAUAUAGUUGUUUAAUUGACAUUUCUAAAGUUGUCAACAGGAAAACAGCAGAAAUAUUAUAAUUUUCUCACCAGAUCAAUUUCUCCCGGUGUUUUUCCCGUUUUUUCAAUGAAAAAAAUUUAUUUAAAGAUAAAAUAAUAAAAUCAAGCAUGGAAAACUGAAAAACUGCUCUCAAAAUUCGAUAAGAAAAUAUAUUUUCGAAAAUUGAGCCCGCUACGGUAGAAUUUAAAUUCUUACUGUAAAUAGUUUUCGCUAAGAGAUAUUGCGCGUCAAAUCAAAUGCCCCAGUGCGCAUUCUCAGAAUUGUGUGUUCCCGUAAUAUGACUACAUCCUGUGUCCAUUGACCUGUAUGACGUCACGGAAAACACAGCUGUUCGGCCCUCCUGCCAAAUAUCUAUUUUUUGGGAGUUAUUCCUAAUUCCUGUGUGCCGAGAAAUCUAUUAAAUAAAUACAUAUUCAGUUUUUUAUUCACUAAAUUUCUCUACAUAACAGGCUAACCUAUUUUUUUUAAUGAAUAAUGUGAAUUCAGUUCAAUCAAUAUUUUCAGCCGUUCGGAAUGAGUUUGUCAAGAAUUUAUAGAAACCAAUUUACGCCUGUUGGCGACAAUUCUUCUGUAAGUUAAACCAAAUCUGAAAAAAAAUGCGAAAUGGUUUUCAGAACAGCAUGAAAGUGUUCACAAAUCAAAGAAUCGUCGACAAUAUUCUGAAAUAUGUGAAAGGAGAUAUGAACAAUCGGUUGAAGUCACGUGUGAGUAAUUUUUAUAAAUUUUGAUAAGAAAAUAUUUUAGUCCAAUAUCACGGAUAUCUGGCUUCCCUCAUAAAUUGAAAUGGAAGAGUUUGUGCCAAACUAGACCAUUUUGGCUCGACCAUAUCUGGGGUAGAUUUACGGCGCGUUGCGUGUCGCGUCGCGGCUUGUAAAACUGAAUGUAUUUGUCCGUGUGGAGUACACGACUUUCCCACGCCUUGUCCGGCGGGCGAUUGUCAAUAGAGCGCGAAAAAUGCAAUGAGGAAGGCCAGAGCCCAGUGUUUUCGUCCAAUAUUUAUAUUUCAAGUUAUAAUAAAUAGCUUUGCAGCUGGUCAACAAAGCAUUCAAUUUUGGAAUCAUUCAUUCGAUUCGAAUAGAGCAUCAAACAGUGAUCUUUCACAAGCCUACUCGUUGUGAUAUUAUUAGAAGAUGCCCAAAUUGUACAGUGAACUUGAAUUCGGUAGAGCUUAAUGUUAAGAACAUACGAAAGUAUGCGAGGCAAGUUUUGUUAUGAAAAUGAGUAUGUAAAUUUAUAUUACAGGUUCUUGAAACAAACGAUGAAGAUAACGGUAUUCAAAAUAAUAAUUGAAGACUUGGAAUUCAGUUGUAUUGAUAGAGAAAUUAUUCAUUUGGCUCUCAAUGACUUAUUUACAGAUUCAGAUUGUGAGUUCUAUUGAUCCAUUCUUAAUUUUCUAAUAUUCUUACUUUCAGAUGAGAGAGUCGAAGAAUUUAUUGGAGUUGAUAAUAUCUGCAUUGCAGGAUGUGGCGAAUGUAGAAAAAUGAUUCAAAACUGUAAAGUAUACGGGCCAAUUCAACUGGACAUAUUUCAAAGUGUAAUGGGGCAAAAACGAAGCUUUGAUGCAUUACAGAUCACAGACGAGUGAGUUUUAGAAUUUUUCUAAAAUUUUUGAGAACCGUAUAAACUUAUAUACAUAGGCACGUGAUGUUAAAGUGCCCAAUUUCGGUGUGAUCUACCAAAAAUGCGGGAGAAGAGGCGCAGACUUCUCAACAGAUUUCGUAUGGUUAACAGCGUGCUGACGUCACAUUUUUUUCUGCAAAAAAUUCCCGCAUUUUUUGUUGAUCACACCAGAAUUGGGCAGUUUGACACCACGUGCAUAUGUAAUACUACCCACUUACAAAGUACUAAACCGUUUGAAAAUUCCGACGCUGAGAAAAUUAUGCAUGAUCGAUUUUCAAUUACUACAUACUUUACGGUAAUUACGGAAAAACUCUUAAAAUUUUUAUCAGCCAACGUUCGAAACAAACGCGUGGUGUUAGAGUGUCCACGAAAAUCGCGAGAAUUUAGUUGCAAAAUUCCUAACCCACUUUACAUGGUUUGGGAAAAAAUGCCACCAUUUUUUGUAGAUCAAACCGUUAUGGGACAGCCUGACACCACUUAAACGAGCCCAUUACACAAUUAAUCAUUUCAGAGAUCUCUACGUAUUAUUAUGGCUUAACAAGCAGAAGGAUCCGAAGCUAGUUGAAAACUUUAUCAACUCGAUCAUCACUUGCUCAAAAUUUACAAUUUUUCUAACAUCUAUAUUCGAAAAGAAGGAAUUGGGACAUUCUCUACCGAGAGAGCUUGUGGAUAUGUUAAUAACAAAAUGGAAUGUAAAAACUGUUGAAAUUGGGUUCAAAAAUGUGACGAACGACGAUUUCUAUCAGAAUACUGAUUAUAUUGAUCCAAAAGCUAAAUUCUAUGUGGAUUACCGGACUCAACAACGUUCAAUGUACACAUUGGAUGUAGUGGAAAUUAAUAUAAAACUCACAAGAAUAAUGGAAAAGUGUCAUGGAUCACUAUUUAACAAUUUUGUUCCAAAUGUUCGCACGAUAUUCCCAUCCAACAAGAUCACUUUGAAACUCUCGAAGGAAGUUUGCAAAGUGCUCAUGAAUCCUGACAACGUUGAGGACUUCAUUUCAGGAGUUAUUUUGAUGGCUCAAAACGAUGAUCACCCUAAUUCACAUAUUUCUCUAAAGUUAUAUCCCCAGCAAUUACGUUUUCGUUUGAUUACUUCGUUUUUAUGUGAUAAUCUAGUUAAGUUAUUUGGUUUCUGGAGCUUAAAAUCAGUUUCAAAAAUUUCUGAAAAUGAGAGAGGUAAAUCCUUUCAUUUUUUCAACCGAUCAAUUAAUUGUAACAUCAACUUCGAUGUGGUAUAUUCUUUUGAUGUUGUUGAAUAUGUAGAUUGAAUAAACUUUAAAGACUUUUUUGUUUUGUACUAUUAAUAAACCAUCACUUGGUGUCAGAUUGCCCCAUCGCUCUACUGCACACAAAAAUGGCGGGAAAAUUUAUGUUUAAAUUUUUGUGGCCUUCUUUUGAUCCCUUGAACUUUCUCUUGGGAGUGGCGCUUGUGGAGCGUUGCACAACAUUGUAUAAUCUUUUUCACAGCAGACGCAGGGAAAAACAGACAUUUGUCGAAGGCGGUGAGUGCAAUAAAUAAGCAUCGAGUCAUGAUUAUUCCAUGCACUUUUUGUGACCAUGGAGCUUUUUUUCUAUUUUUUUAAAAUUAAAAAUGGAAAAUUACCAAAAUUACAAAACUUUUUUUUUUCAGUAAAAUGGAGCCAUCAACGUCAGUCAAUCAAUCUGGGAAUCAGGAAAGUGGGACUCAAUAUCCGUGAGUUAAUGAUUUAAGGAUAUAACUUUACUGAACUAAAGUAAUUUUCACAAAAAAAUUGAGAAAGGUGGAGAAGGUUUAGGGGUUCCAUGUAGGAAUUAAAAUGUCUGCCUGCCUCAAUUUGCGCUUUAUGCUUGAACUUAUACUUGAACUCUUUAGUGACAAAAAUGGAAAAUUUUUAAAUGUGUAAAUUCAUGCCAAAAUGCAAAUGAAGGCGGAAGGCCGGCUAGGUUUCAGGCAGGCCCUGAAACCGGGCCUGCCUACCAUGGAAGCCCUAACAAGGUUAUUAAUUUUUUGCAUGUUAAAAGUAUUCGCAAAACUUUCUAGUUUUUGACUGAAAACUUCCAAAACUUUCAGAUCCACCACACCAAAACUCUUAAGAUAUUUCAUUUGUAUGAACAGUGUGGAUUCUAAAAGAAUUGCUAUCAGAAUACUAAACGACGUCCCGAAACUGUUUAUCGGAGCAAGUUGCUCACAUCGGAAAGGUGCCGGAGCACUUGUUUAUAAAAGUGUGGAAAAUGGUUGCAUUGUGGAGUUCGGAACUGAGCAACGAUUUGUGGAAGGUGGAAAUAGUUUCAAGUUGGCUUUUGAUGAUUUGGAGGAAGUUAUCAGAUUUUUCAAAUAUUCACUGGAAUCUUUGGAGGUUUUACUCGAUGAAAAAGUUGGCAUGGAAAACCGCAAUUUGUGCAUUUCAUCUAUUCUGGGUGGUUUAUCGAUGCACGUAUCUAGCUUGUCACUUCGUGGCUUGUCUUCCAAAGAAAUGAUGUUAAUAAUAUCGAAAUGUGAAUCUGGAGUACUGGAAAGUAUUCACUUGGGAAACUGUAAUAUGCUUUGUUCAUUAAAUGAAAUUUGCCAACUGGAACAAUGGAAAAUGACAAAGUCACUCAAUGCUCAUGGAGGGAAAUUUUCUGUGGAUUCUAUACAACACUUGUUUCAUUUCACAGAGUUUACUAUCACUCUAGAUACAUUAUCCACAGAAGACGCCAUCAAUGUUAGAGAUGUAAGUGGUAGCCGAAACCUGGGCAGAAAUAGCCGUUCGGCAAAUCGGCAAUUUGCCGGUUUGCCGAACAUUAAUUUGCCGGAAGUUUUUUGAGGGAUGUUUUAUAAGACGGAAACACUUAAAACUGUGCCUUUUUGAAAUUUUUUGCUUAGUUUUCAAAAUAUAUGUAGAAAAAUUUAUCGGAUCUGUACAAUUUUGCCGGUUAAAAUUGAAAUUCUGAAAUUUCCAAUAAAAAAGCCAAAAAUUUUUGCAAUUACCGUUUUCCGACAAAUCGGCAACUUGCCGGAAUUGAAAACUUACGGCAAAUCGGCAUCUUGCCGGUUCGCCAAUUUGCCAUAGGUUUUCAAUUCCGGCAAUUUGCCGAUUUGCCGGAAAUUUUGCUGCCCACCUUUUUAUGAUUAAUCGACUUUCCGUAAAAUCAAAAAAACAUUGUUUCAAAAAUAUUCAAAAAAUUAACAAAAGAAAAUAGAACAUUAUGAUUGUCGUAUUCAAAAAAAUUAAGAUUUCAAGCUAUUUUUCUAAACAAUUUAUUCAACUAACUAUUCUAAAAGUUUUGCAAAACAGUGCAACAGAACAAUUUUAGAUUGCAACCCCUUAAAAAUAAAAUCUAUAAAACACUUUAAAGAGAGCUGACAGUUAAACAAAUCCUCAGGCGGCUGGAAAAAUUUUAUUUUUAAAAAAAUUAUGGAUUUUGGCCCAACUAGUCUAUCUCCAAUAUAAUUUAGUUGUAAAAUAAAUUUUCAGGUGCUCGUCAAAUCGUCCAAUUUUUUGCACUGUUACAUCCAUCUCCCAUUCUUAAACAUUCAAGAAAUCGCUACAAUUUUCAAACCUGACUUUUCCAAUCACUCUGCUGAAACAUUCACAAUGACACUUAAGGAAACAGUUAAUGAAUUUAUUAUUGACAUGAGUCCCUACCACUUCAAGAUUACCAAUAUACUUCAUUCCUUUUAAUCGGUUGUCAUUCAAUUUGAUCUUGCAUAUUUUCGAUAAAUUUCUGGAUUUUUAAUGAAAUUUUUAAUGAAAUUUUUUAGUACAAAAUGCUUAAAUACCUCUAGUGGCCCAUAAAACCAACAAGAAAAACUUUCACUGUUUCCCCGUUGCUUUGAAAUAUUCUGCAAACAUUUUUAGUUUUUACUACUUUUGUAACUAAUAUUGAAGAGUUCAUUAAAACAGGAAAAGGCAAAAAAAACAAGGAAAUAUAAUAUUAUAGAGAUUACACAUAAUGUAAAAAAGGAGUGGGGUGCCAAUAAAAGAGGGAAAAUAGAAAAAAACUAUGGAAGAAGUUAAGUAUAGCUAGGUUGAUUGUUGGGGUUAUAAUUGAACACACGGUGGGUUCUUGGCAGUAACAAAUAUUACGGGAACACUAAACUUUGAGAAUGCGUAUUGCGCAUCAUAUUUGACGUGAAAGAUAUCUCGUAGCGAAAACUACAGUAAUUCUUUUAAUGACUACUGUAGCACUGAUGUCAAUGCCGUUAGAAACAAAUUUAUUCUCAAAUUGCGAUAGCGUUUUUUAAUUUUCCUCCAAUUUGUUCGUUUAGAUGUUUUUUUUUAAGUUUUUAUCCAUUAUUUAGAAAAAAUAACGCAAAAUCGGAUCAGCGCUACAGAAGUCAUUUCAAGGAUUACUGUAGUUUUCGCUACGAGAUAUUUACUUUAGACACGUUGCGCAAUACGCGUUCUCAGAAUUCAGUAGAAAUGAGUAGUAUUUUUAUGGAUGUAAUAUGAUUUUUUUGUCAAAUACUGUUUCACUACUUGAGUUUUCACAUUAGCAGAUUUUUACUUCAUAAUUAUCUAUUUAAAGCGUAUUGAAGUGGUAAAGAGUAUUUGUCAAAAAUGGUUACUAAAUCCAUGCGAGAUUAGCAACAAAUAUAAAAAAUAAUCUUACAAUUUGUUGACUGGUUGAAAAACUGAUAACAUUUUUCUGCUGGGAGAUUUGCAGAACUGUCUGAAACGGUUUCGAGGUUCCAAGAAUCAAAUUUCUUCUCGAAAUUUUCACGUAGAAACGAAUCAAUUAAAGGGGCAUCUACUUCUUCAGGAUAUAAUUUGAGAGAUAUAUGCGAGUUAGGUUGAGCAUCCUUUUGAGUCAUCAAUAUUAUUCCCGAUAUAAAAUCUUCAACAUUUCCUUGACUCAUCAUCUCUUGGCAAACUUCCUUCGAGAAUCUUACAGUGAUCUUAUUGCUGGGAAAGAUUCUGCGAGCGUUGGCAAUAAAAUUAUCGAAUAGUGAUUUCCGAUUCUUUAUUUGUUGUUCGACUACUUUUGUGAGUUGUAGAUCAAUUUCAACGCCAUCCAAUGUGUAUUUUGACCUUGGUUGAGUCCAGUAAUCCACAUAAAACUUGGCUUUUGGCACAAUAAAAUCAGUGUUACAAUGGAAAUAGUAAGGUAUUGGUUGGUCUUGUCUUGGAACAAUCUCCACAGUUUUCACAUUCCAUUUCUUAAUCAAUAAAUCCAGAAACUCCCUUGGUAGAGAGUAUCCAAAUGCCUCCUUUUCGUACAUAUACAUUAGAAAAAUGGUUAAUUUUGAGCAUGUGAUAUUCGAAUUGAUAAAGUCUUCAACUACUGUCGGAUCUUCUUUGUUAAGUAUCAUUAAUUUGUAGAGUCUCCUGAAAAUUCAGAUUUUGCAAACUUAUAAUGAGUGAACCAAAAUUAGUAAAAUAGUUUUUGUUACUACAGUGCGUGUACUGCUUUUUUAAAAAUUUUUUAAUGAGAAAACUGAAAACUUUUAGAAAAGUUAUUGUCCUCUUGCAUUAAGCAUCGUAUUAACCUCGGAUUUUUGAGUACAUUUCGCGUAAAAUCACGAUUUUUCUACUAUUUUCAGAAAAAAUAAUUUGGACUAUAAGCGCAAUUAUGUAUUGUUUUCCAAAUCUGUGUAGCAAAUUAAAUCUUCAUUCUAGCACAUGUUUCACAUUUUAAGACGUUAAAACUCAAUAAACGCCCUGUAAUUGGUACAUAUAUCUUACAAUAAACAAUACUGAGAAAAAACGGUAAAACUUAUUAAAGGUGGUGUAGUCGAAUUUGAGACUAUACUUAAAAACAUUCACUAUGCUCGUACAAGUCGAUAUGUAAAAGCGAAACAUCACAAAAAUUUUGCUAAAGGAAGUUAUGAGCCUUCAAAGUGCCGAAAAAAAUCUCUUCGUCCAUCUAAUUUGAAUUUCGCGCGCAAAUGAGCGCCCCCUCGUGUGUACUCCUCUCGGACAAUCAAAUAAUUAAUUUCUCGAUUUUCGGCAAUUUUCGUAUUUUAUCGUGAUUUUUCAUAGUUUUUUCGAUGUUUUAAUCGAAUUAACGACGAGCCAAUGUCUAUGAAUACAAUUUAAACUGAUUGAUUGCCCAAUGACACCUAAAAAUAGACAAAACUCACAUUUUAUUGCAUUAUCCAGUUAUUACUCCAUUUUUUGAACUGCUUUACGUUAAAUAUUUUACAAAAUAUGAUUUAUUGUCUCUUUAAACAUUAAUUUCUAAUAAAAACCCAGAAUAGGCUCAUUAAAGUACGAAAAAUCAUCUAAAAUUGCUGAAAAUCGAGAAAUUAAUUAUUUGAUUGUCCGAGAGGAGUACACGCGAGGGGGUGCUCAUUUGCGUGCGAAAUUCAAAUUAGAUGGACGGCGACAUUUUUUUCGGCACUUUGAAGGCUCAUAACUCGGUUUAGCGAAAUUUUUGUGAUGUUUCGCUUAUACAUAUCAACUUGUACGAGCAUAGAGAAUGUUUUUAAGUAUAGUCUCAAAUUCGACUACACCACCUUUAAUGGGCCUAAUAUAGUGUGAAACCUUUGGUCUUUUUUCAGAAUUCGUUAUAUUUCCGAUUUCUGCCCCUCCCCCAAAAUUUUUUUGAUAUUUUCAUUAAUGAGACGUGAACUUUUUUGUAAUUUCAGGCUUAGUAUUGUUGUUUUCUAAGCUUAAAAAUUGAAAUAGUAAUUAAAGAAACAUUCACGUGUGAAUUUAAAUUGAAAUAUUGAGUGUUAUAAAAUUGAAAAACAUUUGGGGGGGGGGACAGAAAUCGGAAAAGUAUCAAGAAUUCUUCUUAAUUAUACGCUCUCUUUUUUGUUAGACUCAUUUUAGGAUAUAUAAAUAGUCAGAGGAUGACACUCACAUUAUUUUCUUCAAAUGUCAUAAACGUUGCUUGCAGCAAAAAUUUGUGGAAUUCGAUCCAGGUGAUCAAAUUUUGAGGAUGGUGUUUCAGUGCAAAAAGUAUUAGAAUGCUGAUUCAAAAUAUAAUACUUAUUCCGUCUCCAAUAUGCUAUUCUACAAAAUUUUGGUCAAAUCAACGUUUGAGGUAUUUGUCGGCAUUAGCCUCUGACUAUUUUUUGGGGGAUGGUUUGAGCUCUGGUUUUGACAUGAGCUCAUACAAAAAUUGAAAAUUUUCAAAAUUUUCCCGGUUGUCGCGCACUACUGAAUCAGAGUCUUUAUCUUUACGUCAAAAUUCAUGUUUUUUUUUCAAUCGUUGAGCUUCAACUUUAGAUGAAAUUUUCAAAACAAUUGUUUUUUUUUUCAAACAACCUCUAAACUGUAAAUAAUAUUUUCCGAAAACACCUGAAAAUCGGCGAUUCGAUAAUUUUAUGUAUAAUUUUCUAGCUUUAAAACUCACAUGUCUUUGACCUGUAAAACAUCAUAAUGGUGUUUUAGUCUCAGAAUAGCAUUGAACAUGUCAUUUUGAACUGGUCCGAAUACUUUGCAAUUUGCAGCUAUCUUUUCACAUGGAAUACAUGUAGAAAAAGAUAUUUGAUCAAUACCAACAAAUUCUUCAACCUUAUCAUCUAAAAUUUCGAAUACUUUAAUGAUUAAAGUUUAGUCACUUUACAAAACGAUAGAUAAUCAAGACUUACAAUCUGAACCUAUCAAUGAUUUAUGAAUAACUUGAUGAACAUCGGUAAUCAUACAGCAUACUCUUUUUGAGUCUUCGAUUCGUAUUUUGAUUACCAUAAUCUUCAUGGUUUGUUUUAAGAACCUGAAAUGUAAUGUACAACAAAACUCCUCGAUUUUUAUAUUUUUAUACCCACCUUGCAUAUUGGAAUAUGUUUUUCUUAUUAAGCUUCACAGAAUUCAAGUGGACUGAACAAUCUGGACAUGGAGAAAUUUUAUGGAGUCUGUCACAACGAUUAAACUUGUGAAAUACCACAGUUCGAUUCUCUUUUCGAAUCACAUGAAUGGCUGCCAAAUUGAAUGAUUUGUUGACUAACUGAAAACUGGUUAGUCUUGGUUUAAAUAUUGUGUAACUACGGUGCAAGGGCAUUAAGGAAACUAAAUUUCCCGAGAAAAUGGUUUCAGCAGAGAAAGCUCCCCGAUGACUUACACGAAGCUCCAGUCGAUUGUUUAUAUCGCCUUUCACAUUUCUCAGAAUAUUGUCGACGAUUGUUCGAUUGUUAAACAAUUUCAAGGCGAGAUCAUUGUCCUGAAAAUGAGAGUUUUUUUAAAAGAUAACAUAUUUUUCUAUUUUUAUUAAUAAUAAUAACUUUGUUUCCUGCUAUGUUAUUCGCAAGGAGAAAUCAUCGAGCAACGUGAUGAAAACGGUGUUUUCAUUUCUUUGUGUGCCAAUUUCGAAGAUUUUUUGUGAACAAAAACAAUAAAACUUUUCCUCUCAAGUUUUCCAUUCCCAUACGUAAAUUGCAAAACCAUUUUAUUUAUAAUUGUUUCAAACCAGAAUACUUUUGAUUUCAAGCCGCCUAGGCGCUGAGAAAAAUAAACUUUAAAAAAAAACGCUAUACAUAUUUGAUACCAUUUGAAAAAUGCAAAUUUGGCACGCUCAACGUUAGGGUGUUACCAUAAUUGAGUCGCACCAUGUACCUUUUUUUAAUUAUAGGGCUAUGGUAUUUAAAUUCUCCUUUUGCUUUAUUCAAGUAACCAAAAACAUAUAUUUUAGUACAGUUGCGCGGUCAUAAGGUGUAUUAAAAUACAUUCCGUAAAAUUACUUGAAUAACUCGAUUAAAAAGACACAUUCAUAAUACAACAGGGUCAUAAAUUUGUUGAUAAAAGCACCGCACCCUGUACUAUAAGUUUUACUCACGUAUAAAUUUUCGAAAAGGAUUGUGCAGCUUGAAUUAGGAGUAUUCAUUAGAGAUUAACUUUGACUGAUUGUCUGAAAAUAAAUAAAUAAAUAAAUAUAUAUAUAUAUAUAUAUAUCAUUUACUAUAUAUAAAGCGCUUAUUCUGUGUGUCCAUAGUUUGUAGUCUAUGUAGUCUUUGUAGUCUCAGAAGUUUUGGCUUCUGGAGGGAUAGUUAGUUGGGGUUAGUGUAGGGAUAUAGUCGGGGUACUGUAGUGGUACAAUAGUGGCACGGUAGGAAUACUGUAGGGUUACGGUAGUUUCAGAAAAAAUUAGUUUUAGACCCAGAAGUCGGGGGCCGCGCCAGAGGUGGGGUCCACGGCUGGUAUGUAUAUAUAUAUAUAUAUAUAUAUAUAUAUAUAUAUAUAUAUAAUAUAUAAUUUUAAUGGAGGUAUAGCAGAAAAAGAGCAAUAACUCAAAAAAUAUGUUUUGUUGGAUAUUUCAUUUUUCUCGGUAUUUGUUUUUUUAAAAAAAAGGUUUCUAAAAUUAAACUAUCCAAUUUUGAAAAUAAAAUUGAUUAAUUGUGCAGCAGAUGCAUGUGACCCCCAAAUGUUUCCGAUGAAUAAACCUCCGUAAUGGUCAGCAAUAAUCAUUAUAAAUUUAGAAGUCUUUUAUAAAAUGUAUAAAAUAAUCUAAUAAACGUUUAUUAUACUAAGAAAAUAUUAUUCCAAAACCUAACAGCGAAUGUAAAUAUUUCAGCUCGAUUUUACACUUUUAAAAUAAAACCUAUUGCAUUUGAAAGAAGAGUUUUGAAAUAUGUCACUACAAAAAAUUCGAGAAGCUCUUUGGAAAAUUUUUUUUUGAGAAAAAUAGGAACAUUUUCUUGGUCGAGCUAUGCUUCUGUGUUUACUGCCAACUUUCAUGGAAGUUUUGGUCUGAAUAACUUUGGUUAGGAUUGUCUGGAAAUAAUUUUGCAAAAAAAUUUAUAAGGUGCUAAAAUGAGCGAAUAUUAUAAAAAAGGUUUCAAAUAUACAAAUAUAUGAUCAAAGUAACUUAUUUUUUUAAAAAACACUUUAGUAAAUAGGAACAUGUAUGUACAUACUUACUAUAGUAAAAUAUGAGGGAGUAUAAGAAUAUUUGCCGUAAAAACUGAAAAGCAAUGUUAUUGAGAGUAAAAAAAGUAUCUAAAAAGCCAUUUAUAUUUGAAACGUCGGUAUUUAAUACAUAAGAAACUAAUGAAGAGUCUACUCCGCAAACACUGCACAAUGGAAAAAAGUGGGAAAGGACCUAUAGCAGCGUAAUAGAUGACGUCAUAUACUAUUGGCAUUGGGUCGUUACUUUUUUUUUCGGCUGUCGGCUGACGCCGACAGCCGCACAGCCCUGGUGGACAGCUGCAUUAGAGACCCAUUUCUUUUCAAGUUGUAUUUUUUAGUAGGAACAACUGAAACAAGCGAUUCCAAUUUUAAUUUUUAUAGCUACACAUUUUAUAUGUAUGUAAAUAUGUUUUAUAUAUUGAUUUUUCAAUCAAAAAAAUUAUUUUACAAUUAAAAUUAACAGGGACAACAAAUAUAGGGCCAGCAGAUCCAGGGUGAUAAGGUGAAGAAUUUUUUUUUUGAUUUUGUUUCAAUAAUAAAUACGCUAAUAAAAAACUUAAAAACAGCUUGAAUUUUCGAGAAAAAUCCAAUUUAAAAAUGCGACUACUGUAAAAAUUAGUGUAUGUACGUAAGGUUUGCCCCCCCCCCCCCCGUGAAUACUAAUUUUCGGACAACUGUUUAGAUGCAAUACUACUAGAGGGUGCAAAACUAACAGAGGAUGCCAUAUUUAUUUUCGAGCAAGGCUUUUCUGACACAAUUUCAUCAAUUUCAAUAACAAAAAUCGGACCAAAAUAACACAUUUUACCACUGAUACGCGAAAAUCAUCUAAGUUGUACUCAUAUUUUACCAACUUUGACUUGUUACACCAAGUCUGUAAGAAUUUCCCUGAUUUAUAGAACAAUGCUAUACUUCAAAUUUUAGAGCCUCAAUUAUAGAGAAAAAAUGAAGGGGUAUAAUUGCAUGCAACACUAUUAGAAGAGCAACACUAUUUUUCAAGAGAUAAUUUUGAUACAAUACUAAUAGAUACACCUUACUAACAUUGGAAUAAGGUAAUUAACAAAAAUAAAAUGAAAAAAAAAAACAUAAUACUUAAGUUUUCUCCUAAAUUUUCGGUUAAAUUGAGUUCUGUUUGAAUGGCUGCUGCGGUGUCCACCAGAGCGCAUUUUAUCUACGUACUUAUCGAUUUUCUUCAUGAUACCCACUAAUGUCUUUGUUCUGUAUAACAGGAGAAUGCAAAGUGCACCAUGAAGAAGAAAAACCCUACUGUGUGUUUAAUUGUCCACUUUCAUAAUAAUGGAAAAAUGGAGACAUUAAACAGAAAUACAAAAUUAAUUGUGAAUAAAUUGUGAUCUACAUGUGUCCUACUCAAACUUUUCAAAGAAACCCGGGAAAUGAAGGCUGAACGGAAGGUAAGAUAUUUUCGCAUAACUCUGCCUCUCAUUGUCAAGCAACUCAAAUCUAAUAUGAAAAUAUUAAAUAGCAAUAUUUUUGUAGUUUGGUGAUAUUUCGAGAUAAAGUCGCAAUAUCCCGAGACUCAUUCGAAAUAUUUUUAGAUUGAGCAAUAUUUUCUUUUGAGCAGUCUUUUGAGACAAAUUAGUAAUAUUUUGAGAUAAAACGGAAGUCUUCCUAGAAAUUUUCACACUUUCGCAAUAUUUUGAGAUGAAAUUGUAAUCUUUGAGACAACAUCGAAAUCUAUUCGAAAUUUUUAGUAAUCUUAUAUGGACGCACUAUUACAAAAAUAUUGCUAUUUAAUAUUUUCAUAUUAGAUUUGAGUUGCCUGAGCUCCCUUGCGAUUCAGAGAAGUUUUUCUCGAAUUCUCCAGUAAAUUUCAGAGGAAUCCAGAAUUUUCUCAAAUUUCCAGAAGCUUCUAGAAUAUUCUGAAAUGUUCUCGAAUUUCCCAGAAGGUUAUUUAUAAAACAGUUCAGAAUUGUAAAUUUUUCUAAAAAUUGUAAUUUCCCGCCCAACAUUUUCUCAGAAAAAUUUAAUUCCCGCCAAAAAAUUUGAAUUCCCGCCAAAAAUUUUCACAGAAAAUUUGAAUUCGCGCCAAAGUUUUUCUCAGAAAAUUGAAUUCGCGACAAAAUGUUUCUCGGACAGUUUUAAGUCCCGCUAAAACUUAUGGGUCUCACCACGAUGGGUCUUGCCACGAAGGGUGACAGAGCCCGACCACAACUCUCGGUGACUUUGGGCGUGAAGUCACAGACAACAAAGACAACAUAGACUGCAAACUACGGACACACGGAAUAAACGCUUUAUCAACAGUAAAUGAUCAUUUGCUAUAUAUAAAGCGCUUAUUCCGUUUGUAGUGGUACGGUAAGAGUACUGUAGGAUUACGGAAGUUUCAGAAAACCAGUUUUCAGCCCCAGAAGUCGGGGGCCGCGCCGGAGGUGCGGUCCACGGCUGGUAUUCUAUAUUCAAAUAUUCAAAUUAGAGAUAUGAAAAAGAAAAAAAAAUAUACGAAAAAGUUGAUAAACCAAAUUUCUGAUUCAAUAACUAGAAUGGAACCAUUUCUGAGACACUAGUCCAUAUGAAAAGCUUGUGGCUCUAUGCAAUCACUCUAAUAACUAUAACACUUCUGAUGCCUGUCGUCGUUGAAAACGAAAUGAGCACAAACAUUUUUUAGGAAUACAUAAUCAGAAAUAUUUUCUUAAUCGACAGUAAAAAUUUUGUAGCAUUAAAUAUCUCAAGUUUCAACGUUUUUGAAUUCGCAAAACUGAAUGUCACCCUGAAGAGGUGAAGCCUGAGAAAGUAUCGAUUUUUUGUAGCGGAAGAAUAUGGAUUUCAAAAUUAUGUUUAAAUAUUUUAUGCGAACAAGAGAACAAAAAUAACGACAACAGUAACAAGAUAUGAAAAAAAUGGAAUUUUCCUCAAGUUUUGAGAAAAAAAGGACUGCAACUUUUCUUGAGCGAGGGACGAGAAAACGUUUCGCGGCGGAUCCGACAAGAUUUCACUUUUUUCUCGCUUAUUUUUUGUUGUUUUCAUGCGUGUUUUUUGCUGUUCUUCUUCAUUUUUAAAAUUUUUAAAAUUUUAAAAAUUUUAAAAUAACAUUAAAAAAUUUUUUCUCGAUUUUUUUGACAUAAUAUUUGAAAACAAACUUUUUUCUCAGAUAUUUCACAAGAAUCAGGAUAAAUUGCUGUCUCCAACGAAUUUUAUGGAGGACUUAAAAGGUAACAUUUAAAAAUCGAUUUUCAAAAUAUUUAAUCGGUGGAAUGUUUCAAAACCCGAUAAAAAUAUUCUCCAUCACGUUUUCUAUAUAUAAUGUCUUCUACAAGUUUUACAUAUGGGUAUAUAUAUAUAUAUAUACCAGCCGUGGACCGCACCUCCGGCGCGGCCCCCGACUUCUGGGACUGAAAACUAAUUUUUCUGAAACUACCGUAAUCAUACAGUACUCCUACCGUAACCCUAUUGUACCACUACAGUACCCCGACUAUAUCCCUACACUAAACCCAACUCACAAUCCCUCCAGAAACAAAAACUUCACAGACUACAAAGACUACAUAGACUACAAACUAUGGACAAACGGAAUAAGCGCUUUAUAUAUAGUAAAUGAUCCUCAGGAAUUUUGUGUUUUCAACCAAAAAUUUUAUUUUUUUUUUUUUUUUUCAUUCACUAAAAAUUUUUAAAUCGAUUUUUAAAAAAAUUAAUGUGUCUUUUUGUUAUGACAUUUUUGAAAAAUGAUCAAGUUUGUCGAUUUUUGGGAGAAAAAUCUGUUUGAAUUUCAGUUUUUCCCAAUUCAAAGCCAGUUUUCUUGCAGACCCGUCUUCACUGAAGCCAUACCUGCCCGGAUCAUCGGGUUCAAGCGUCGGAUUCGAGAGGGAUUCAAGAUUCAAGGACUCAUCGAAAAAUUUGAAUUUUUUAUACCCUUCGUUUUUCUUUUUUUAAACUUUUAUAUAUUUAUUUAAUAAAUAAUCAUGGAUAAAAACUAAUUUUUCACUAGCUACAGUAAUAAGUCCGCAAUAUUCGUAAGAUGAGGUGUACAAACACGCUUUUUUCCCCAUUUUUUCCGCGGCCAUCGUUCAAAAAAAGUUGCAGUGAUAAACGAAUGAAUUGGGAAAAUUUUUGUUUUUGACAAUACAAAAGGAAAAACUCGAUUUUAGGGUCUUUUCCGGAAAAAUAAUAAAUUUUUAAAUUCUAGCAACCGGAUCGUUCUGAAAAUUUGCUCAAAAUCAGAGAAAUUCUAAAAAAUUCUUUUUUUUUUGAGAGAAAAACGGAAUUUGUGCUCAAAAAAGAAAUCUUAUUUCCUAAUUUUCUUUGAUUUUCACUAAAUUUCCAUUAAAAAAGGGCUAUAAAAUCCGAAAACCGAAAUUUUAAGCCAGUUUCUUCUAAAAAUUUGCUUACAACGAAUAAAAUUCUAGAAAAUUUUUAACUUUAAAAAAUUAAAAAGCGGAGUCGGGAAGAGGGGGGAAGGGUCCUAGUGGUGCUGCCCUAUGGGCAUUUUAGUCCAAAAUCCACGUGGCUGCGGCCCGAAAUCUGUCGCUUUUUCCGUGACGCUUCGAAAUUGCAAUACGUACAGCUGACAUUGAUCCGUGAACUUGUUUCUGUAAGAAAAAUGGGAUUUUUUUGGAGUUUUUGUAAGAAAAAUUGGGGUUUUUCGCAAUAGUUUGGUUUCUUUUUGGAGAAAAUGAUGACAAAAUGGGGGAUUUUUAAAUUUUUCUUCAAAAAUGAUAUCACGGAUAUUUUUUCUGAACACUAGAGUGUUUUCUCUAUUUCAUAAACUAAAAUGAAUGUCAAUAUACUGACUAUGAAUCAAGAAGUUCUGGCAAGCCCUCAACAACUGAAUCAACUUUAUGAAAACAUUACUUUGGCGCCUCACAAUUUUUAAGUUUCAUUUGAAUAUACAUGCGUUCUUUAAAUAUGUUGAUCUUUAAAAUUUUAUUUUUCUAGAAGAUUGAAUAUUUUACACGGGUUUCUGGCUCGACCUCUCUCUCGAAAAUUUUGGAAAAUGGCGGGAAAAAAUAUUUGAAAUCGCAAGAGGAAUUUUCACGCAGCGCGUUGAAAUAGUGUAUGCACUUGCGCGUGACGGUGUUUGCACAAAAUACACCGAGGGGUCGAGCCAGAAACUCGUGAUUUUUCUAUCACUAUUAACAACUGAAAUUGUGUUCCAUGUCAAUCGUUAACAGUAAGAGAUAAUCUUUAAAGGUGGUGUAGUCGAAUUUGAGACUAUGCUCAAAAACAUUAUCUAUGAUCUUACAAGUCGAUAUGUAUAAGCGAAACAUCACAAAAAUUUCGCUAAAUGAAGUUAUGAGCCUUUAAAGUGCCGAAAAAAAUCUCUUCGUCCAUCUAAUUUGAAUUUCGCGCGCAAAUGAGCGCCCCCUCGUGUAUACUCCUCUCGGACAAUCAAAUAAUUAAUUUCUCGAUUUUCAGCAAUUUUAGACGAUUUUUCGUACUUUAUUGAGAGUAUUCUGGUUUUUUUAAUGGAAAUUAAUGUUUUGAGAGGCAAUAAAUCGUAUUUUGUCAAACAUUUAACGGAAAACAGUAUAAAAAUGGAUUAAUAACUGGAUAAUUCAAUAAAAUGUGAGUUUUGUCUAUUUUUAGGUGUCGUUGAGCAAUCAAUCCGUUCAAAUUGUAUUUAUAGACUUUGAAUCGUCGUUAAUUCGAUUACAGCAUCAAAAAAACAAUGAAAAAUCAAGAAAAAAUACGAAAAAUCGCCUAAAAUUGCCUAAAUCAGGAAAUUAAUUAUUUGAUUGUCCGAGAGGAGUACACGCGAGGGGGUGCUCAUUUGCGCGCGAAAUUCAAAUUAGAUGGACGAAGAGAUUUUUUUCGGCACUUUGAAGCAAGGCCGUCCAUUUCUUGAUUCUUGAUUUCUUGCAUUUUUUGCAAGAAUUCUUGAUUUGUAUUUCUGCAAAAAUUUGCAAGAAAUUUGAACUAAAAAUUUCACAAAAUUUUCGGAAAUUAGUUAAACUCUCACAUUUUUUUUACAAAAAUUAUCACAAAAUUCUUGAUUAUUAUUUUAAAAAAAGUGAAACAUCAAUGAAAUCAAGUUUUUUGCAAGAAAUUUCCCAUUUGUCCCAAAAAAAACUGAACCAGGCGCAAUUAUAGUACCACAAAUGUUCGAUGUUUUAUUUGCGAAUACUCAUUGUCACAUCUCUCACUGGCUCACUUUAUUCUAAUUUUUCAGAAUGUUUCAUUUUAGGAAUUUUGUUAUUUCAGAAAAUAGCUUAGUUUGUGAUUUCUGUAACUAUGCCUGCCAAAUCCGUGAAAUGUAAUAAAAAUCUAAUUACUCCUUAACAGUGCGAUUUCCGAACCAAUAUAUUUUUACGUAAUAGCUUCUUUGAUAUCAGUGAGUAUUUGCCAGUAUGAUUUAAGACCCAAAAUUGACUAUUAAUGUCAAUUUCACAAUAUUUAGCCACUUUAGUAUAAUUCGUUUUCAAUUUUUGGCAAAUCUAUUGUGUAAGCUGAUAUUCUUGUUUUCAAGAAAUUUUUCUUGGUUUUUCUGGGUUUUUUCUUGGUUUUUUUCUGGCAAGAAUUCUUGUUUCUUGAUUCUUGCAAAAAUUUUCCCGUUGGACGGCCUUGCUUUGAAGGCUCAUAACUUCAUUUAGCGAAAUUUUUGUGAUGUUUCGCUUUCACAUAUCGACUUGUACACUCAAAAUAAAAAAAAAACUGCGUGGCGUGUACUGCAGAAAACCGCGGAGACAGCUGGCCACACCCACAGCGAGUUAAACAUAGCGGCGCGCGGAACUCGUAGGAUGUCGGCGACCUGAUAUUGGUUGGGACCCAAACUUUUGCCUUUUCUCCGUGAGUGGGCGAGAAAACGGCGGGGCCUAAAUAUGAGGUUUUCUGCAGUACACGCCACGCAGUUUUUUUUUUAUUUUGAGUGUAAAUGUGGCUAAAACGGGUUUUUCGUGUUUUUGAGCAAAUUUCGGAGAAAUUCAUGUUCCAUUGCGAAUAAAACCGAUUGAAAUGUUUCUCUCAACCUGUUGAUGGUCAUAAACUAAUUGUGUAAAAAUUUUCUUUGAAGUUGUAAAAGACCAAAAUUCUACGUGCAAAAGGCAAGGCUCUUCACAAAAUCGCAUUAUUGGCAACCAGCUUUAUUUCUCCGACUAAAUUAACAAUUUCAAGCUUCGGUGGUUUCAAAAACUGUAUUUUACAGUUACGGUCAUACUAAACAUUCUUGAAACAGCCCAAUUUAUGCUUCCACUACUCGCGUACCAACCUCGGCCGUCUUCCCAGAUUCAGGGAGGCUGUGAAAGCGCAAGGAAUGAUACAUUCAAAGUUUCAACUGUUAUCAUAUUCAAAAAUAUCUCAAAAAUGCAACUUAUUAAGGUAGGAGUGUCUACCAUUUUUAUCGCGACCGUUACACUUCUGGAUUUGUGUUACCAUAAUUGCGCCACACCCUGUAUAAAAGGACACUUUUGGACAUUUUUUAGAAUCAAAAAGGCGAUAUUCUCAAUUUAAAAUGAUUUUGAAAAUUCAGAAUUUUUUUCUAAUUUUUGUCUAAAAAUUUGUUUCUUUAAUUUUUUGAAAAAAGUCUGAUUUAUAGGCGAUUCUCAGUUAUUUCCCCGAAAAAACCAAAAAUAUUUCGGUUUGAAGAGAGAAUAUCAGUAGAAAAUAUCUCAAAACUAAGAAUUUAGCAUUAAAACGUCAAAAAUCAUAAAAUAAUCGAGUUUCUUCAAUUUUUUCUGGAAAAAGUAGAUUUUUCCAAAUUUCCAGAUAUUUCAGCCUGUACUAACACGAAAAUCCUUGAGCAAAAAGUCAUUCGGCUGAUUUUCAGCUCCUCUGACGAUUGAUUCGAUCAGCUUCACACCUUGAAUCAUGAAUUGACCACCAGCGUCUUCCAGAACGAUAUUUGCUGAAAAUUAUUGGAUUUUUUCGUUGAAAAAGCUUAAAAGGUUAUUUUUAAAAAUUUCGAAUAAUUUCAGUUUUAAGAAGAAUCUUACAAAAAAGCGGGAAUUUUCCUACAAAAAACCACGAGAAAAUGCUUUUUUUAGCUUGAAAAAUUGUGGAAAAUUCACAGAAACUGCUAAAAAUCCUGUUUUUUGCACUAAAAACCGAUUUUAUCGGAUUUCAUACAGUUUUACAGGAAAAUUUCUGGGUUUUUCAGGUAAAUCCUCGGUUUUCAAGCUAAAAUAGCCGAUUUUUCUGCAGAUUUUAACUAUAGUUUUUUACGACGCAAUUUGCGCAUUAUUAUAAUAAUGCGCAAAUUGCUUCGUAAAAAUAGAAUUUUCUGUGCGAAAACUUUUUUUUUUUUUGAAAUUCUCGGAUUUUCCCUAAAUUUCGGAGCAUUUUUGAAGCGAAAUUGUUGGAUUUUCACCUCAAAAAUUGUGAAAACUGCAUAGAAACGUUGGAAAACAGCUGGGUUUUUAAGCUAAAAUGCCCGAUUUUUCAGCAAAAUUCCUAAUUUUCGUCGGAAAAUUCGGAAAUCCGAUAAAUUUUAGCGGUUUCGGAACAUUUUUCAAGCGAAAUUGCUGGAUUUUCACCUCAAAAAUUGUUAAUUACAUAGAAAUUUGGAAAAAAGCUGAAAAUUGUGAUUUUUUUCCAAAAAAAAUCCGGUUUUUCUUCUUUUUUUGAGCAUUUUGAGCUCAUUUUUAUCAAAUUUUAAUUGAACAUUUUCGAAUUUUCAGUCUGAAAAAUCAGUUAAAUGCUCUUAAAAUCGUAAUUUCAGCUAUUUUGAGGGCAUUUUUAAACAAAAAUUUCUGGAUUAUACAGAGAAAGUAGGGAAAUUCUUGGGUUUUUAAGCUAAAAUGCCUGAUUUUUCAUCAAAAUUCCUGAUUUUCGACGGAAAAUUCGGAGUUACCAAUCAAUUUUACCGAUUUCGGAAUAUUUUUCAAGCGAAAUUGCUGGAUUUUCACCUCAAAAAUUGUGAAAAAUGCAUAGAAACGUUGGAAGACAGCUGAAAAUUGUAAUUUUUCGCUAAAAUUUAAGUUUUUCUGCUUUUUUGGAGCAUUUUGAGCUCACUUUUAUGAAGUUUUAUUGAAAAUUUUCGAUUUUUCAGUCUGAAAAUCGGUUAAAUGCUUUCAAAAUCCCAUUUUCAGAUUUUUUUGGACAUUUUUUUAAACAAAUUUAGUGGAUUUUCAGCUAAGAGAGAAAUUCUUGGGUUUUUAAGCUAAAAUGGCCGAUUUUUCAGCAAAAUUCCUGAUUUUCGACGGAAAAUUACGAACUGUGAUCAAUUUUAGCGGUUUCGGAGCAAUUUUAAAGCAAAUUUCCUGGAUUUUCAUCGGUUUUCUACUCAAAAUUCCCGAUUUUUAGCUAAAAAUCUGCAAAAUCCGUACAAAUAAUUGGCGCCAGUACAUUUGCCAAAUUGAGCAAAGCAUCCGGCAGCUCAAAUGGUGAAACUGCAUUGGAUUUCGAUGAGCUCACAACUCCAAAUUCGAAUGGGCUCACGUCGGGAUUCUGAAAUUUAUGGAAUUUUAGGCUUUUUUACGUGGAAAAAUUGCAAAAACCUGCACAAAAACUCGUUUCAAAUCACUUUUUCCCUCGAUUUUCUCAUUUUCGAAUCGGAUUUCCAGGGUGGAAGGAUCCACGUGUCGUUCUCGAUUUAUAUCGUAAAUCUGAAAGAAAAAAAAAAUAUUUUUUCGAAGUUUUUUAGAGUUUUCAGCGAAUUUUCAAGCUUUUAAAUGAAAUAAUUACGAGAUUUCGUGCAUUUUUUCCAGAUUUUCACUGAAAAAACUGCAAAUUUCGUCAAUUUUCAGUAUUUUUUCUGAAAAAAAACUAGAUGCCAGUGAAUUUUCAGCUUUUUUACAAUAAAAUUGCCAUUUUUAACAGGUUUCGGUCAAAAUUUUGUGGUUUUUAGUAAUUUUUUGGAGUUUUCAACUGAAAAUUGCAAUUUAAAAAAUGUAUUUUUCGGAUUUUCAGCCAACUUCUAAGAUUUUUACUGAAAAAUAUCAAUUUUCUGGGAAAUCGCUGAGUUUUCAGCUUUUUUAACCACAAAAUUUGAAUUUUUCACUAGUUUUCAGUCGAAAAUUUGUGUUUUAAACAGAAAGUUCAAGUUUAAAAAUUUAUUUUUCGGAUUUUCAGUCAACUUCCAAGAUUUUUACCGAAAGAUACAGAAUUUAAUCCAUUUUUUAAGUUUUUUCAGCGCAAAAUUGCAAUUUUGCUCUGAUUCUUGCUGCAAAAUCGGAUUUUUUAUCGAUUUUUCUUCAUUUUUUUCUGGUUUUUUUGUGUUUUCCAGGACCACACAUAAAAAUGCAGUUUAAAAUCGAUUUUCUCGAAUUUCUAGUGAAUUUUUCGCAAUUUCCAGGCAAAAAACUACGAACAUUGAUGAAAUUGAGAAUUGUAUCGAUUAAUCCCGGCUUAUUCCACGCCAGACGCUUCGAACUGCCCAGAUAAUUGAUAAAACAGGGGAAGAGAUCGGCAUGAUUCCGGCAAAGGCUCGGAUAUCGAUCGAGAAGCACCGAAAGUGUGCUCAGUGCGAGGUGGCGGACUCUGAAAAUUCAAAAUUUCCCAUUUUUCAGAAAAAAUCCACUCACUCUGUGACGAUAUUCGUUAGAGCGCGGAGCACGUGGGACAGGAAAAGUGUGAUAUGAGCCGACAUUGCUUGAAUUGAAGCUGUACACAGAAUUUUGUAGAGAUUCAGUAGAUUCUGACGUGUGGAGGGCUCGAAAGAAGCGUCAGCCACGUGCACAGCCACGCAGGGAACCAAAAGCCUCAACUGGACGUUGACAAGAUCCGGGCGAGACGUUAAAAUCUGUUUUAGUCCUUGAAUAGCGUUCAUUUUCACUUUCUGAACGAGAAUUUAUUAAUUUUGAUCGAUAUUCAGCGAAAAAUUACCGCAUUAAAGUGCCCCAUCUGCUUGCAGAGCUCAUCGAGCGUUAGACCACGGAAACUAAGUGGAUUAUCAUCUGUUUCCACUUUUUCCUCCAACUGAGUCGCCAAUACUACUCGUUUUGCUGAAAAAAUGAAUUAAAAUUCGCGAAAAUCGGGUGAAAACUCACCUUUGAUAGUCGUGUCGGUGGUCGUCGUUUUUUUCAGCUUUUUUCCCACCUUCAGCUUGACUUUUUUGAAAUCUUCGUUUUUCCGUGCCUUCUUUUUGGUCACCAUCUGCAAAAAAUGUUAAUUUUCGCGUGUUUCUUGAGAGAAUAACAAGAAAAAUGCGAAAAUGGCAAAGGAAAAAAAAAGAGAGGAGAGACCACGCCUCGGUGAAGUGCAAGUUUCAUAGAUAUUGAUUCGAGAGAAAAUUAUUCCCAUAAAUAGAAACAUCACGCCCAAUUUUUAAUAUUUUCUUUUAUUCAGAGUUAAAAUAAAUUGAAAACCAAAUUGUUAAAAUUUUUCCCACUAUGCUCAAAUCAGAUCCUUACAAUAAUUUAUAAUUAUCCUGCGUUCCCGUUUCUGCACACUCAUUUAUCUCAUAAUACAGCAACGUCUCCAAAGCAAAAGCGCUCUACUGCGCAUAGGAAAAAGGCGCGAAUCGAGUGAUUUGAAUAAUUUCGCGGUGUUUUACCGCAUUUUAUCUUCUUUUUUCUCAUUUUUAAACGACGUUUUACUCUUAUAAAUAUUUUUCACGUAUUAUAGUUUCAUAUAUCUUUCACACAUUCGUCCUCCUAAAAAAUUUAGUGAUUCUGAAGGCUCGUAAUUUAUAUGGCAUGAAUGUUCUGAAAUAUUCCUAAUUUUUUGAACUUUCAGAUUUUUAUUUUUGAACAUAAAAUGGCUCACACUUUUGCGUGCCCACGUGGAGAUUGUGGACUUUUUUCGCUUUCCAAACUGUAAGUCAAACAUUGUAUUGCAUAAUCACCGGUUUUUGUUUCAGGGACGAUCAUCUCACUGCGGAUCAUCAUCUGGAACACAUGUGUUCAGAGUGCGAAGAGAGCUUUGGCUCUGCAGAAGAGGCCAAAGAGCAUACUCUUUUAGCUCACGAAAAUGCUCAAACAUUCGAUGAUCCAAAAAUUAGAAAUACUAGGUAUUGUUGUUAUCUCAGAGCUAAAAUAAAUAUAAUAUUUCAGAAUUGUAGAUUCCAUAAUUGCAGCAGUGAGAGUAUCCGGUGAUGUGAUUGAAGAAUUCAAUUCAGUGAUCAUGCGAGCGGUUAUUCGUCAUUGGGGAAACACGAGCACGGAAAAGCUGGUAAGGAGCAGAUGAUAAUUUUAUUUUAUCUGAGAAUGCGUUUUGCGCAAAAUAUCUUGUAUCGAAAACUACAGUAACUUUUUCAAAGACUACUGUAUCACUAGCGGCGACUUACGGAAAUCAUUCGAUAAAAAUUAAAAGAAAUCACAAAAAUGACAACAACUUGAAUUUCGCUGUCACAAUUUGAUCAGAAAAUUACAAAUAGCAAGCCAAUACAUCGACGCCAGUUCUACAGUAGGCAGUUCAGGUUUUUUAUACAGUUAAGUAUUAUAUUAAAAGUAAAAUAUUAAAACUGUCACCUUAAAUUUGAAUCCAGCCAAGCCCGCGAAAAACUCCGCUCGAUUUCGGAUGCCGAAAAUUGGCUCGAAUCGAGAGAUAUUCGGGAGAUGCUGGAAUCAAAUAAGACCUACUUUCUUUUAGAUUUCCGCCGAUCACCACAAAAAUGAAAAGAGUGGGUAAUAUAUCGCGGCCGACAACCCACGGGUUCCGCGCCUCGCUAUAAAUUAAGUAAAUUAAGCCACGCCCUUCAAAAGCACACCAACUGAUAGGGUGUGGCUUAAUUGACUUAAUUUAGAGCGAGGCGCGGAACCCGUGGGUUGUCGGCCGCCAUGUAUUACCCACUCUUUUCAUUUUUGUGGUGAUCGGCGGAAAUCUAAAAGAAAGUAGGUCUUAUUUGAUUCCAGCAUCUCCCGAAUAUCUCUCGAUUCGAGCCAAUUUUUGGCAUCCGAAAUCGAGAGGGAAUUUUUCACGGGCUUGGCUAAAUUCAAAUUUGAUGUGACAGUUUUAAAAUUUUGAUACUCUUUUUAACGAAAAAUUAUUCGAUUUCAGAUUGCUGUCGUUGAUUCUCCAAUGAUUACUCGUGACUUCUAUAUCGACUGUUUUGAAGCUUUAAAGAUGGUAGACUAUUCAUUUGUAUUUAAACAAUGAAAUAAAAUUCGAAAUUUGCAGAGAUACGAUUCUGGAGAGAAGUCCAUCGAUCUUCUCUGUCGUUUGGCAAAAUUGUGUACAAAAAUUGGAAAUUUUGUUGAGAAGGAAAAGAGAAAGGACAUCAUAAUCAAAGGAAAGAUGUACGCUACCGAAGCCUGGAACACCGAUUCGUACAACAUCUUGGCUGCUCAUUGGGCCGCUGUGAUGUCAGGAAAGGCAAUCGAAUAUCUUGAAGGCGAUGAAAAGAAUCUGGAGAUGAGACACUGCAGACAAUAUCUCGAUCGUGCCAUCUCUAUCCAGGCAGGAAAAAAUGCAAUGUACAAUAAUAUUCUUGGCCGUUGGGCUCUUUCAGCACUGGAGAUUUGGGAGUCUGACCGACAACAGUUAAUUCAUCAUUAUGCCACCCCAUAUGACGCUAUCGACGAUGCCAUUUAUCAGUUCAGAUCCGCUUUCGAUCUCAUACCGUAUUGGAUCGAUAAUAUUGUACACCUGGGCAAAGCGCUUCUUUACAAUGAAAACAAAGAAGCCGCCAUUGGAAUGUUUCAGCUCGCACUCAAAAUGGACCCGUCGAACGAUAUCGAGAAAGAGUUGCUCGCCGACGCCCUUGACUUGUGCUCAAUUUGAUCCUUCUUUUAUUUCCAUUUUAUUUUCUGUGUCUCAUUUUUCCGUUUGCACUUUCCUCCGUUUUUUUAUUGUAAAAAUUCCGUAAAAAUCGGCCCAAAAUUCCCAUUUUCAGGGGAUUCUUGGAGCCCAACUUCUUUUUUUAAAAAUUUGGAUUUUUAAAUUUUUCCCCGAUUUUCUAUAGGAAAUUCCAAAACAUUUACUGAAAAAUAGAAAAAAAAAUGGCCAGAUUUCUCGAAAAAAUUAAAAUUUUUGGAAUUUUUCUGAUUUUUAGCUAAUUUUUUGAAAAAACUGGCUCAAAAAUUUUUUUUUGGUAUUUUUUAAAGAAUUUUUAUUUUUAGAAAAUCCGUGAAAAUUGAGGGAAAUUGAGCCAGAAAUUUGGUAUUUUGGAGCCCAAAAUCUGUUAAUUUUUAUUUUUAAAUUUCCACGAAUUUUAAGCUAAUUUUCUGAAGAAGUUGGCUCAAAAUUUCGGUUUUUUGGAAUUUAUUUUUUUCCUGAAUUCCUAGAAUUUAUAGUGUAGUUGAUCCGGAAAUUCUAUUUUUCUCAAAUAAUUGAAAAUUUUUACUUUCAGAAAAUCCCUGAAAAUUGAGUGAAAUUGAGCUCAAAAUUCAUAUUCUUCUCAAAAAAUUGAUUUUUCUGUUGAAACUUCCUUGAGAAAAUUUCUAGAAGAAGCUGGCUCAAAAUUUCGAAUUUUUGGAAAGUUUUUGGAAUUUUCAUAAUCAAGUUUUUUUCGAAAAAAUUGAAAUUCCGCCGAGUUUAAGCUAAUUUUUAGAAUUUUUCUCAGUUAACGGUUCUUUUCUAGUGAAAAAUUCCAAAAUUUAGAAAUUUAAAAAUCCCUUUUCCCCUUAUAAAUUGCCCCAAACAUUUCCGCUUCAACCAAUUUUUCAACAUUUUUAUUCUAUAUUUAACGGCUAUACAAAAAAAUCGAUAAUUUCUCAGGUUUUCACCUCUAUUUCCUAUCUUGUUCACACGCCUCGGUCCCAAAAUUUAAUAGAUUUUCAGGCCAAAAAAACCAAUGGGGUUUUUACAAAUUCUUCAAGAAUGUCGAGCCGAAGGACUAUGGCCAAUUGGGCCAUCUUGUAAUAAGG
rnacentral:sRNA from 1 species